rnacentral:lncRNA from 1 species
UAGAGAAGGGUUUUUUUUUCUUUUUCUUUUUUUUGUUGUUGCUAGGUUUACAUUCAGAUACCUUGAUUCCGGCCAUGCUUCCACAUUUGGAACCUUUCCCUUUAAUUCUUUGAUUGAUUCAGUCAUGAGAACUAACUUGUCAACAUAGAGAAGUCACUGGUGAGCCACUCUUGAAUUUUUUCAUUAUGAUCUGAGACCUACACAUGCACAUGCAUACACACACACAUGCAUACAUGCCCAUGUAUAGAUGUGUAUAUAAACACACAGAGGCAUACAUGCAUAUAUGUAGGUACAUAUAUAAACACAUGCAUCUCAUUCCCACUCUGUAACAUCAUACUUUUGUCAUCUCCAUCCAACCAUUCAGUGGUGGACUGGGUCUAAAAAUAUUGGUUGCCAGGAGACUAAGGGGUUCCACCUGCAACUACAAUGCUAUCAUAUAAUUUUUUUUUUUUGUUAAAAGUGUUCUUUUCAACUGUCUACAAACAGAGCCAGGCUGAAAUAAUUAAUGCAUUCUUCCAGGAGUGAAUAAAAAAUUAUCAAACUUUAGGGGAUGGGCCCCUUAGAUACUAACCUGGUCCCCCAUAUAUGGAUUCUAAUGGCACAGGGGGCCACUUGCCAUCAGGCAAGCUGGCAACCCGGACAGUCUGCCACUGCAACCAUUCUAUCUAUUCUUCUCUCACCAGUCUCCGAAGUGGAGGCACAUGGCCUAGUGGUUAGAGUAGCGGACUCAUGGUUGAGGGACCGCAGGUUCAAAUCUUAGACCAGGUGAUGUGUGUAUUUAUGAGCGAAACACCUAAGCUCCACACGACUCCAGUAGAAGGUAUUGGUGAGCUUCUGCUGACACUUUCACCACAACUUUUUCUCACUCUUUCCUGCUGCAUCUUGCAACUCACCUGCAACAAACUGGCAUCCCAUCCAGGUGGGGAAACCUAUACGCCAAGGAAACCAGGAAACCAGCCCUUAUGAGCCAGGCAUGGCUCGAAAAGGAACAAACAAAACCAGUCUCUGUAAUCUUCAUCUUUUUUUGGUUUACACUUGAAUGAACAAAUACAUCUUUGAGCAGUGAUAAGUCUUCAGUCAUGGAUGGUUUGAAGGCAUCAUUACGAGUGCUGAUGCCAUAACAACAGAGGCCCAGUAUUCUCUGUAAAGUGGUUGGUGACAGGAAGAGCAUUCGUCCAUAGAAGAUGAUCCAAAAAUGUAAAAUAUGAGAAAAAUACGGUUCUCUGAUCUAUCUCAGAGGGUAGCAGUUCUGAAUAAGAAUGAACUUAGACUGUGGGGGCUGAGAGUGAAACACCUGUGGUUAUCAUAGAUCUGUAUAAUAAUAAUGACAAUGAUGAUAAUAAUAAUAAUAAUAAUAAUAAUAACAGUUUCGAAUUUUGGCACAAGGCCAGAAAUUUUGGGGGUGGGUGGGAAGUUGAUUGCAUCAACCCCAGUCCUUAACUGGUACUUAUUUUAUUGACUCUGAAAGGAUGAAAGGCUAUGGUAGAAAACACUUGCACAAGGUGCCACACAGUGGGAGAUAAUUUUAGCAAAAGGUUCCAAUGUUUGGGGGAUGAGUCGAGACAAAUUAACUACCUUCAGACAGGUAUUUACUUUAUUGAAAACAAGAUGAAAAGAAGAAUCAGUCACAACAUAACUUCAAAAUUGUAAGGGGACAGAUCCUAAAUACUGUAAAAUAUAAAUAUCUUUUGUUGCUAAUAUUUUUACUUUGUAGAAUCCUUCUAAAGGAAUAUGAUAUUUAAAGCAUAUCACUUAAAGUAGACUGAUAUUUGAAGUUGUUAAAAAAACCUUGGCUAAUUUCAUUGGUUGUUUCAAUUUAGUUAUAAAUGUGUAGUGGAGAAGUAUUUUUAAUCUUUACUAUUCUCAAUUUCUUUUUUCUUUUACCUUUAAUAUUUUCCUUAUAAUUGUUCAAAUUCCAAAUCAUUUCUGAAAAUCUUUAGAAUUGUGAACCAGUUAUUUCUUCUCAUUCAUAGUACUCAAAAUAUGAAUUAAUUCACAGAGAUAAAAAAAAAAUAAAAUGUCUAAAUCUCUUGCUUUCUGGAAAAUUUCCACAAACUAUAGAAAAACUGGUAAUUUUAAUUUUGUUUGUCAGAAAGUAACUAUUCUCUCCACAAGGGAAAAUAUUUCGCACAAACUAUUUUCCAAUUAUUGUUUACUUUAUUUCGUAGUGUCUAAUUAGCAUCUAUUUCCAAUUCUGGCAUCCAGUUUCUACUGAUUUAUCUGUACAAAUACAAGCAUGACUGAAUGAAAGUAAAAUAAAUGAAACUGGAUUUUAUUGGAAAAUUUUGAAAUUUCUCAAAUCAUAUUUCUCAUUAUUAGAAUUUUAAAAUUUCAUUUUUUUUUUUUCUCUUUUUGUUUGACAACCAGUGAUUUAGCCUGCUGAUGUGAAUUCCUUUCCAGCUAAGGAAGAAUACCAAACUAUAAAUUACAAAGGAUUAUUAGCGUUCGUAAACAAAAGCAAAUAUUUGAAUACUCUUCACAGACACAAAUACACACACACACACACACACAUGCUGAGUUGUGUAAAUAAAUAAAAUAUCUUAAACUAUCUUUCUUCAUUACUAUAUAAGUACAAAUAAAACUAAAGUGUUUACUUCAAAUGUGCACAAUGAUAUAAAUUAAUGCUAAUAUUUGCUAUGAAAAUCUACAAAGAUAAAGUAGAGUGCCUUUACUUUUAUUGGAAGACAGGCUGUCUAUUAUUUUUAUAAUUAUAAAUUAGUAAAUAAACCAUGGGAAAUAUGUAGACUUUAUGCUAUUAUCUUCAUAAUAACAAAAGAUAUUUUUGUAUUUGAUUAUAGAAGUAAGGAAAUGCAUGGGAACGAAAUACCUCUUCCUGUCAAAGCAACAAAGAAAAAAAUUGUAAACAAAUUUGCUUGAGUGAAGGUAUUUUUGUUUUGGCAACCUUACUUUGAGUGAGAAGAACAUGUGAAAUAUUUUCUAAAAAUUAAAACAUUUUCAACCUUCUCACAUGACAGUUAGUGGGGAAGACAUGAAAAGAAAGUUGUUGCUUUACACCAACAGCUGUUAAUCCCCACAGCGAGCAGUACUGCAAAUAAACACAUCUACAGUAAUUAAUGAUGCAGUAUUGAAUUGAACAUAUAUCAAUAAUUAUCACACACACAGAUCUUAUGUAACUCAAAAUUAUUUUCUGUAGCAACAAUACCUCAAGGAACUGACAGCAUAAAACAAUUGCUAUAUAUACAGACACAUACAUCAAGUGUUAAAUAAAUACCACUUUGUUGUGUUUACAGUUAUAUAUUUUUGUGCACUUUACUAGUGUAUAUAUAUAUACAUAUAUAUAUACAUAUAUAUAUAUAUAUACAUAUACAUACAUAUAUAUAUAUAUGUGACUGCGUGUGUACCGUUGGCGAUUUUUUUUCCUCUGUCUUCCCUUCUCUGGAUCUUUCCUUCUCCUAUGUUUCCGACGAAGAGCUCCACUCGAAACGUUAAACCCUCCUUCUUUCCUGAGCGUCCAAUAAUACUAUAUUUGUUCCACGUCCUCGCGUUGUGUUUUUUUGUGCUUUCUUGUUUGGAUUAACUUUCUCUCUCUCUCUCUCUCUCUCUCUCUCUCUAUAUAUAUAUAUAUAUAUAUAUAUAAUCAUCAUCACCAACAAUGUCAUCAUCAUCAUUUAACGUCUGUCGUCCAUGCUGGCAUGGGUUGGAUGGUUUAACCCGGGCUGGUAAGCUGAGGGGCUGCACCAGACUCCAGUCUGAUUUGGCAUGGUUUCUAUGGCGGAUGGUCUUCCUAAUAAUGCCAACCACUCCAAGAAUGUAAUGGGUGCCAUAUAUAUAUAUAUAUAUAUAUAUAGGAGAGAGAGAGGGAGGUUAAAAUAGCUUCAUUAAGGGAUAAAAAUAUCCAAUGGAUAACUGGUUCGUUGCAUAUUAUUUUUUUGUGAAUUUUAAUUUGAAUAUUUAUAAACCAAGGUAUAUACAUAUAUAGGUUUGAAAUGGUGCUGACUAGCAGGGAGCUAUCCAGACUCCAACUGUCUGUUGUGGCAUGAGACCCUUCUUAUGGCAUGAGACCUAGCAGGGAGCUAUCCAGACUCCAACUGUCUGUUGUGGCAUGAGACCCUUCUUAUGGCAUGAGACCUUCUUAUGGCUUGAUACCCUUCCUAAUGCCAACCACUUAACAGAUAGAUAGAUAGAUAGACACACACACAACAUCAUCAUCAUCAUAAUUUAAUGUCCUCUUUUUCCAUGCUAGCAUCGAUUGGUUGGAUGGGGUUUAUCUGAGGCAGAUUUUCUAUACACACACAUACAUAUAUAUAUAUACAUAUAUCCGACAGGCUUCUUUCAGUUUCCAUCUACCAAAUCCACUCACAAGGCAUUGGUCGGCCCGAGGCUAUAGCAGAAGACACUUGCCCAAGAUGCCACGCAGUGGGACUGAACCCGGAACCAUGUGGUUGGUAAGCAAGCUACUUACCACACAGCCACUCCUGUAUCACAAUAUACAAAAGGAUGUCUCUGUCUAUGUGUCUUUAUUGACAGACAUGACUGUGUACCUGCUGUGAUAAAUUAAAUAUCAAAAUAGACAUCUCCAUAUCGUUGAUGAAUGGCUGUGUGGUAAGAAGUUUGCUUCUUAACAAUGCAGUUCUGGGUUCUACUAUAGCCUUGGGCCAUCCGAAGCAUUGUGAGUGGAUUUGAUAGAUAGAAACUGAAAGAAGCCCUUACUAUGUGUGAGUGUGUCGGUGCAUAUGCAUGUGUGUGUGUAUGCAUGUGUGCGCAUGUAUAUGUAUGCAUGUUUGUGUGCAUGUAUGUGUGAGCAUGUACAUGUAUAUGUAUGCAUGUGUGUGUGUACAUGUGUGUAUGCAUGUGUGUGUGUGCAUAUAUAUGUAUGCAUGUGUGUGUGUAUGUGUGCAUAUAUAUGUAUGCAUUGUGUUUGCAUAUAUAUGUAUGUGUGUAUGUGCGCAUGUACAUGUAUAUUUGUAUAUGUAUGCGUGUGUGUGUUUUUCCCCUCUCACCACUUGACAACCGGUGUUGAUGUGUUUAUGUCCUUGUAACUUAGUGGUUCAGCAAAAAGGACCAAUAGAAUAAGUACCAAACUCUAAAAAGAAAAAUGAAAAGAAGUAGUGAGGUUAAUUCAUUUGACUAAACAUUUUUUCAAGGUGGUGCCCCAGCAUGGCCUCAGUCUAAUGACCGAAACAAGUAAAAGACAUCAUUCAGGCACAGCAUUUACUGAUACUCCAAUAUGCUGAUGAGGUAUAUUCAACCAAAUUUAUGCUAUCAGGUCAUUAAGAAUGAAACGUCCGAUUUUCUUAAGCACCAAAUUUGACAGUCAUUAACUCUGAUAUUUUUAUCCUGAGAAUUCCUUGUUUUACAACAUUGAAGAGUUACAUUAUCAUUUUCUGAAAUGCAAUUCAUGGUUUCUGAUUAUAUUGUGAGUUUUCUCAUGUAAAUCAGUUGUUGUGAACCCUUGGAUGGAUAAAAAAUUUGUGUUGUUUAUGAAUAUGUGUUCCGUCAUGGAACCAAUGUAUUCCAGACAGCUCGAAACAUCAAUGAAGUGUUUGGGGAAGAUGUGGCGAAUGAGUGCACUGUAUGUCGAUGACUUCAGAAGUUCCGGUCUGGUGACUUUACUCUUCAAAAUCAGCCCCAUGGUAGACCUGAGACCAAGGUGGAUGAAGAUGAGCUGGAAACUGCAGUGGAAACAGAUACAUCUCAAACUACACGUGAGUUAGCAGCAAGGUUUGAUGUUUUGAUUCCAACUGUAUUGGACCAUCUGAAACAAAUCGGCAAGAUAAAGAAGUUGGACAAGUGGGUACCACAUGAACUGAACAAGCAUUAAAUGACAUGUCAUCUUGAAAUUUGCUGUUCUUUGCUGUUAUGGCAUAAAAGCAAACCAUUUUUUCUUUUCUUUUUCUUUUACUUGUUUCAGUCAUUUGACUGUGGCCAUGCUGGAGCACCGCCUUUAGUCGAGCAAAUUGACCCCGGGACUUAUUCUUUGUAAGCCCAGUACUUAUUCUAUUGGUCUCUUUUUUUUUGCCGAACCGCUAAGUGACGGGGACGUAAACACACCAGCAUCGGUUGUCAAGCAAUGCUAGGGGGACAAACACAGACACACAAACAUACACACAUACAUAUAUAUAUAUGCACAUAUACGACAGGCUUCUUUCAGUUUCCAUCUACCAAAUCCACUCACAAGGCAUUGGUCGGCCUGAGGCUAUAGUAGAAGACACUUGCCCAAGAUGCCACGCAGUGGGACUGAACCCGGAACCAUGUGGUUGGUUAGCAAGCUACUUACCACACAGCCACUCCUGCAUCAUGUGAUGAAAAAUGGAUUCUUUUCAAUGAUGGCAAGCAUUCUGCACAUUGGCUGGAUGGAGAUGAAGUGCCAGAACACAGUCCUAGCAAGAAUAUUCACCAAAAAAAGCUAAUGGUGUCAGUUUGUUGGUCCAGCACUGGUGUCAUCAACUACAGCUUUAUGAGAUCUGGUAAAACAAUUACAGCAGAUGUGUACAUCAGCAAAUUGGAUGAAGUGAUGAGUGAACUUGCAAUAAAACAACUGAGAUUGAUCAAUAGAGACAGGCCAAUUCUCUUGUAAGACAAUGCUCGACCACAUGUUGCACAAAGAAAACUACUCAAGUUACAGGAACUGAACUUGGGAGUACUCUGUCAUCUACCAUAUUCACCAGACCUUGUAGCAACUGACUAUCACGUUUUCCAGGCAUUAGACAAAAAAUCUUGCUAGGAAAAAAUUUCAAAUCUGAAGAAGAUGCGAAAACAGUCUUUUGUGAUUUCAUCACCUCUUGCUCUCCAUAAUUCUUCACUGCCUGCAUAAAUAAGCUACUGAUAGAAUGGUAAAAAUUGUAUUGAUAAUUUAGGUGCAUAUUUUAAUUAACUGCAUUGCUUUCCGUUGAGAUAUAAUAUUAGGUUGUCCCAAAAGUUCGUAAACACUUGCGAAAAUUGAAUUUUUACUCGCCAAGUACUAACAAAAACAACAAAAUUUAUUCCUCAAAAUAAAGACCAUUAUUUUCCAAGACUUUCUACGAACUUUUGGGACAAUCUUAUAAAAUAAACUUUCAGUUCAAAAUCGGACAUUUUAUUCUUCAUGACCCGAUACAUUCUGAUAAAAUGUGACUGUCACAUUUUAUCAGAAUAUAUGUGUAUAUCUGAAUAAAUAUUGCCCACAUUAUGUUGUAUAUAUUUUCUACAUAGCAGUAUGUAGUCAACAUAUCAUAUCUGUAAGUAUUUAUGUUGUACGCCCAUCUCUCUGUGACGUGAAAACUGCAGAAAAUCUACUUCGAAAAUUCAAAGAAUUUUACCAUCAUUGUCAUCAACAACAACAGCAGCAAUAACUGAUGAUGAUGAUGAUGAUGGCAAUAGUAACAAUAACAACUACGUAUAUAUAUAUAUAUAUAUAUAUAUAUAUGCAUAUUAACUUCCAUAUAUAUUCUAUAUACAUAGGUGAGCUAAUUUUUGCAAACAGGUAUUAUGUUGACAUUUACUAAUUAUUGACAUACAGGCAUUGUAAUAACUUGACAAGGUCAUGCGGUAUCCUUAAAUCUUUGUAUGACAUGAAGAACAUAUUUAUUCCUCCAGAGAUUCUGCCAAGGGUAUACCAUAACUAACAUUCACAUGAAGUCCACUUUGGCAUAUACAACAAUUUGCUGUGUAAGCAUGCACAACAUGUAGUUCACAAGAAGCCAGCAGUCAUUACUUUAGAUUGAAAUCAUGAUGACAUGCCAGUUCUAUUAACUCUCUCUUUCCUUUACCAUGUAUAUAUAUAAGUAUAUAUAUAUAUAUUUAUAUUUACAUGUAUAUAUAUAUAUAAAUAUAUAUAUAUAUAUAUAUAUAUACAUUUAUAUUUACAUAUAUAUAUAUGUGUGUAUAUAUAUAAAUGUAUCUAUAUAUAUUUACAUGUAUAUAUAUAUAUAUAUAUAUAUACACACACACACACACAUAUAUUACAAAUAUAUGUGUGUGUGUAUAUAUAUAUAUAUAUAUAUAUAUACAUAUAUCUUUAUAUAUAUACAUAUAUCUUUAUAUAUAUACAUACGCAUACACACACACAUAUAUAUAUAUAUAUAUAUAUAUAUAUACAUACAUACAUACAUACAUACAUACAUAUAUAUAUAUAUAUAUAUAUAUAUAUAUAUAUAUAUAUAUAUAUAUCUGAAAGAUACUUACCUGACUUGUUCUUCAGUUUUUGCUGUGUUCACCUUUAAUAUUUUUCACCCAACAACUCUUCAAUGGCAGAAACUUUUUCUGCAGCUUUUCAACACAUUUCGCUGAGAACCAGCUUGCUAGCAUGCAAUGGAUCCAAGAACAUUUAGUGUUGGACUAAUUUGUCAUUAGUUUAAGGAAUAUAAUGAAGUAUGUGUUGCAAACAGGGGAGAGAAGAUGAUUGCCAUAACUCAGUGGUAACUUAAUGGUUCCCCGUAACUUAGUGGUUCGGCAAAAGAUGCCGAUAGAAAAAGUAUUUGGCUUUACAAAGAAUAACACCUGGGAUUGAUUUCUUCAACUAUAACCCUUUGAGGCAGUGCUCCAGUGUGGCCACAAUCAAAUGACUAAAACAAGUAAAAGAAUAUAUCAUUUUGAAGGUUGGAAUUUUCCAAAAGCAAACCAUGGCUUUUGGGUUCUCUUCAUGAUUUCAUCAUCAAAACAUGCAUUUCUGUUUAACAUUCUGCCAUGAUAUUUAAAGGAAGUUUUCAAAUUGUGUUAUCUCUAUAUUAGGAUAUAUAUAUGAGGAUAUGCUGGGCGCGGCUGAUAAACAAUAAUAGAGUUUAUCAGUGCUCAUUGCGAGCGUUAAUAUGUGAGAGACCAAUGGAGUUUAUCUCUGAGUGUUUGAAAAUCUUCUUCAUUGUGUGUGACAAUAUCAAAGCCAUCAACAUACAAGAGGCCUCUUAUCAGAGAUACAGAAGUGUGUGAUUUAGAAUUAAGCUGUUUAACAUUGAAUUAUUUAUCAGAUGUGCAGUGAUAUAUGUAAAUACUCUAAAAGAAGUCUUUGAAAAUGAUUGGCAAAGACUGUUGUGAAAUACAUAGCAAACAGAGUCGUAUCAUUCUGCCUUACACCAUCUCUGAUUGUAAAAGAAUCUGAGAAUUCUCCACAGAUUACAGCACAUGCUCUCUUAUCAUCAUGAAAGGACUUGAUAUUUGUGAAUUUAUCAAGACAAGGAACUUUCUGAAGAAUUGCCAUAAUACAUCAUGGUUCACUGCAUCAAAGGCUUUGGUGAAAUCAUUGAAGCACUGAUAGACGCCAAGUCUCUGCUCAGAGCCUUUCUUUUGUAGUGAGUGAAUAGCAUGUCAUUAGCGUUCUUCGUCCAGCUCAAAAACUCAAGUAGAACCUGUGCAAGAAAGGAUAUCCGAUGUUUAAGAACUUUAUUCAGGAUGAUUCUGCCCAAUAUUUUCCCUACAAUUUUUAAAGAACUAUCUCAUGAAUUAAUAUAUAUACACACAUACACUUUGGAACCUCAAUUUAUGAAUGCUUUUCAUCAUGAAAAAAUUAGUUUAUGAAUGGUUUUUUGUACAUAAAACAUCUCAACAGUGAGAGAUGAGCAGGAGAACAUCAGUAACAGUUACGCACUGGGUUUGAUGUAAUCGACUUAAUCCGUUUGUCUGUCCUUGUCUGUUCCUUCUGUGUUUAGCCCCUUGUGGGUAGUAAAGAAAUAGGAGAGCAUCAGUUGAUCUCUGGUUUUUGCUCAGUGUACAUCCCUGCUCAAAUUCAUCUUACCUUCUCUUCAAUUUUCUGUGUAUGUAUGUAUGCAUGCAUUCAUAUAUGUAUGCGUGUAUGUAUGUCUAUAGGCAUGUAUGUAUAUGUGUAUGCAUAUGCAAGUACAUGCGUGUAGUUGAAAUUUAUAGGAAAACAAAAGACGAAGACAAGUGUAUAAACAGCAAGCAGGUGUAUUAGUUUGACGUUCGGGAAGGAGAGAAAGUAUUUUAUGUUUCGAGCCUAUGCUCUUCAACAGAAAGGAAUAAGAGAAAAUAUGUGUAUAUGUACGCAUAUGUAUGUAUGUAUAUAUAUAUAUAUAUAUAUAUAUAUAUAUAUUAUUAUUAUUAUUAUUAUUAUUAUGGCUUUGGUUUUGCGAACAAAGAUCAGGAAGGCUGUCCACGUCGCGUGCAUGCACGCUCAUGACUGACAAGUCCGAUAUGGGAAAGGCAGGUCCAUGAGCAACGUCCACAGACGAAGGUAACAUAUAUAUAUAUAUAUAUUUGCAUAUGCAUAUAUUUAUACAAAUAUUGGCUUAUGCAUAUGUAUAUAUGUGCCUGCCUAUCUAUCUGUUUGUCUGUCUACACACACACACACAGAGUAUGAGCUUAUUGUAUACAGUAUUAAGAUGUACUACAACUUGUUGGAAGUGUAAAAGUAGGAUAGUGCUGGUGAUUUUCAGAACAUGGGGAAUUUUUUUAAGAAUACAAUGACCCAACAGUUAACAGCUCUUGUGAGUAGUUCACUCUAGGCUUCAACAAUUCUGAGUGUGAGAAAAUGUUUCUGAAAACCAUGAGUUCUCCUCUACUCUUAGUUUGUAUGUGUUACGAUCCUUAGUAUGUUGGAUUGUUAUAACGCCCACUUCAGUAUACAGUAUACUUAGUAGCACCAGUAAAGACACAACUAUCUCUGACCACCUACUGUGUACUCUCGUACUUCACAUUCUUCCCUUUACUUACAGUGACUAGGUUAUUCCAUUUGUCAUGUGGGAGGGGUGUACCAUUAUCACUAAUUACCUGCAACAUCUCCCCUUUUAAGUUUUUCUUAGAGAGUGUCAUUUUAUUUAGCAAUAAUUAUUUUAAUUCAUUCCACUUACCGUUUUCGAGUUUUUUAUUUUCAUAUAAUUUAAUAUUUUUUGCACUUGGCAUCUAUUUUCAGGAACUUUGUAUGUUUUCUUUUCCUCUCACUUGUACACCUGGGUUCAAUCCUCUGCAGUGGCAUUGGUACUUGGGAACAUAUCGUACGGCCAUUCCAUUGGUCUCUAACUUCUUUGGUUCACUUUCCACGAAUCUCUUUUUUCAGUUGCUUCCUGUGUCUCUUUUCUAUGCCUUUUCUACAUUCUUUAUCCAAUGUAUCAUUUUUACCUAUGCAUUUGGUAAAUUACACCAUCUUCUCAACUCUGUUUUCCCUUCUUGUAUAGAUCUCAUAUAGAUCUUUUCACUAACUUUAAAGAAUCUUGCUAUGUCUUCCCUUGCACUUCUCCUUUUCUUGCCAGGUAGCAAUUUAUCAAAGGCUGGUUUUACUUUCUUUGCAAAUAUUAGCUCCGCUGGUGAUCUACCUGUAUUUGGAUUUUGUGUCACGGUACACUCUUGAAAAUUGUUGUAGGGCUACCUCAUCCGUGACUUCCUUAUUCAAUUUUCUAAGGGUUCUUUUGAAGCUAUCAACAAACCAUUCUGCCUGUCCAUUAGAUCUGGGAUGAUAUGGAACCAUAGUUUUAUGUUCUACCAGGAAAAUUUCACAAAAUUUUAAAAAUUCGCUAGACACAAAUUGUGUUCCAUUGUUAGACAUUAUCUUGUCUGGGAGACCAAAUAUUGCAAACAAUUCGUGUAAAAAAUUUAUCACAAUUGAGGAGGCUGGUUUUUCACACUUGCAAAUUUCAGGCCAUUCAAAAAAACUAUCAGCUCUCUUUAAUCUUUUACUUGUUUCAGUCGUUUGACUGUGGCCUUGCUGGAGCACCACCUUUAGUCGAGCAAAUUGACCCCUGGACUUAUUCUUUGUAAGCCUAGUACUUAUUCUAUUGGUCGCUUUUGCCAAACCGCUAAGUUACAGGGACAUAAACACACCAGCAUCGGUUGUCAAGCAAUGUUGGGGUUUGUCAAGCGAUGUUGGGGGAACAAACACAGACACACACACACAUGCACAUAUAUAUAUAUGAGGCAAGUGAAAAUCAAAUCAAUCAAAUCAAAUCAAAUCAAAUCAAACCAAAUCAAAAUAGAUGAACAUCAAUGGAAUUUGUAUCCUUGUGGUACCAGUGCCGGUGGCACAUAAGAAAACCAUCCGAACGUGACCGUAGCCAGUACCGCAUCGACUGGCCUCCGUGCUGAGGGCACGUAACAAACACCAUCCGAGUGUGGCCGUUCGCCAGCCUCGUCUGGCACCUGUGUCGGUGGCACAUAAAAACACCAUCCGAGCGUGGCCGUCUGCCAGCCUCGUCUGGCACCUGUGUCGGUGGCACAUAGAAACACCAUCCGAGCAUGGCCGUCUGCCAGCCUCGCCUGGCACCUGUGUCGGUGGCACAUAAAAUCACCCACUACACUCUCGGAGUGGUUGGCAUUAGGAAGGGCAUCCAGCUGUAGAAACACUGCCAGAUCUGACUGGCCUGGUGCAGCCUUCGAGCUUGCCAGACCCCAGUUGAACCGUCCAACCCAUGCUAGCAUGGAAAGCGGACGUUAAACGAUGAUGAUGAUGACACACACACACAUAUACGACAGGCUUCUUUCAGUUUCCGUCUACCAAAUCCAUUCACAAGGCUUUGGUCGGCCCGAGGCUAUAGUAGAAGUCACUUGCCCAAGGUGCCAUGCAGUGGGACUGAACCCGGAACCAUGUGGUUCAUAAGCAAGCUACUUACCACACAGUCACUCCUACGCCUACUACCACUAAAUAGUAAGGACCAUUUAAAGGACUAAAGUGAAAUUGAUGUGUAGUCUUGACCACGGAACAUCUACUUUUGAACUAUGUUUACUUUUUAUUGCAGGUAAAUUUUUAAUUUCAUUUUGGCUUACAUACAGGUGUUUCACUCUGUUUUGCUACAAUUUUUUUGUUUCAGUCCCUCAGCCCUCGACUGAACCAACUAUAUUUCCACACAAAACACUUAUGGGUGUAUUCCGUACUUUGAAUAGUUCCAUUCACUCUGUGCCAAAUAAACUGAGUGAAUCUUGUAAUACAUAUAUCUUUGCCUUUUGCAUUUCACCUUGAAAUGUUACAUUACAUAAGAAUUCACUGAAAAAAAUAUAACACCAUGUGCUAUCUUUUUCAAUUGAAUUAAUUUCAGCUUACUGAUAUAUUUCCAUGUUUUUACGUUUAUAAUGGUAAUAUCACUACCAGUGUCCAACUUCGUCUUAAUGCUUGUAUAUCUGAUUUUCACCUUCACGAAUAUCCUCAUUGUUAUAUUACCAAUUUUUCCCUUUUGAUAUGCUAUUUAUUCUUUUUCCUUUGCUCUGACAUUUUAUCAUCUUCGUUCUACAGUGCAUCUUUAUAUGUCCGAUAUUAUCACAAUGAAAGCACUCUGCUUUCUUAAAUGGACAAUUUUUACUGAGGUGUAUACCUCCACAUGCAAAACAAGGGUUUAUUUCCUGAUUUUUGUUGUAUUUUUUUUAUAAAACACUUUAUCUCUAUUUGGAUUAUUUUACUCUUGUUUUAUUUGGAAACAAUCUUUCUGUUCAAUUUCCUCUGUGUCAUGGCUUAACUAUCUUUUCACAUUCUUCUCACACUUGCUGUAGGGUUAUGUCCUGGUUUUGUUCCAACUUUGCAAGAAUUCUAGUUCUAACUUCUGUGUCCUUUUCGGCAGUAAGUCCUUGUGUAAAACCAGGCAUUUGAACAUAUUUGGUGUUAAUUUGUCCAGCUUAAACUUCUCGCAUUCCCUGUUUACACUACCACCAUAUGUGAUGUAGUCCUCAUUGUUGUUUUUCUCUAGUUUCAGACACUUCCAAUGUAUGUUAAACAAUGAGCGUUUUUCACUGAAAAUUUUGCACAACAUAUCUUUUGUGUCAUUAAAGUUUUAAAUCCCUAUGGUAUUGAAGAUGAUACUUAUUUCUUUACUACCCACAAGUGGCUAAACACAGAAGGGACAAACAAGGACAAACAAACGGAUUAAGUCAAUUAUAUCGACCCCAAUGCGUAACUGGUACUUAUUUAAUUGACCCCAAAAGGAUGAAAGGAAAAGUCGACCUCGGCAGAAUUUGAACUCAGAACAUAGCAGCAGACAAAAUACCACUAAGCAUUUCACCUGGCGUGCUAACGUUUCUGCCAGCUCACUGCCUUGAAGAUGAUACUGUCUUAGAAAAAAGAUUUUCCUGGUAACAACUUUUAUCAAUGCAUACCAGCUAAUUAAUGACUCCCUCUCAUAUAUUUGUACCCAAGUUUGUGUGUGUAUGUAUGUACACUUUAAUGUGCGCGCGCACACACACACACCUUGGUUGCUUUUAAUCCACUGUCAGAUGAAGCAUUGUCACCAGAUGAAAGUCAAGGCUGUCAGACAAUCUCUGUGACACCAUCACUCCUAACAUCUGGCCACCUAACUCCCCAGACUGCAACACCCUUGAUUAUUAUGUGUGGGGUGCAGUUGAAGGAGAGACCAAGAAUACUCCUUGUGACACCAAAGAUGAACUGAAGGCAAGGAUUAUGGCAAAAUUUGGCCAAGGAAACCGUCCAGAAGAGUUGCAGAAAAUUCCAAUGUUAUCUGGAGGCCGUGGUUGAAGCCAGUGGUGAUUUUAUUUAAUAUAUUUACUCUUUAGUAUUUCAAGAUAUUUUAAUAUAAUUUUGGUAAAUAUAUCUGUUAAAAUGAGAUUUACAUAGAUAAUUGUCUAUGUGUGUGUGUGUGUGUGUGUGUAUAUGUGGCAGUUUGCUGUGCUUGAGAAGAUAUGUCAAGCUAAGUGAAACUGUGACCAGUGUCGGUGGCACAUAAAAGGUAACCAGUACACUUGUAAAGUGGUUGGCAUUAGGAAGGGCAUCCAGCCAUAGAAACCAUAUCAAAACAGACAACUUGAGCCUGGUGCAGCCCGCCGGCUCCUAUCAAAUUGUCCAACCCAUGCCAGCAAGGAAAGUGGACGUUAAAUGACAAUGAUGAUUCACACACACACAUGCAUAUAUAUAUAUAUGUAUACACACACACACACAUACAUAUAAAUGUUCUUUUAUUCUCUUACAUGCUUCAGCCCUAAGGCUGUGUCCAUGCUGGGGCACUGCCAGUAUAUAUAAUAUAUAUAUAUAUAUAUAUAUAUAUAUAUAUAGGCGCAGGAGUGGCUGUGUGGUAAGUAGCUAGCUAACCAACCACACGGUUGCGGGUUCAGUCCCACUGCGUGGCAUCUUGGGCAAGUGUCUUCUGCUAUAGCCCCGGGCCGACCAAUGCCUUGUGAGUGGAUUUGGUAGACGGAAACUGAAAGAAGCCUGUCGUAUAUAUGUAUAUAUAUGUAUAUGUGUGUGUGUUUGUGUGUCUGUGUUUGUCCCCCUAGCAUUGCUUGACAACCGAUGCUGGUGUGUUUACGUCCCCGUCACUUAGCGGUUCGGCAAAAAGAGACCGAUAGAAUAAGUACUAAAAGGUGGUGCUCCAGCAUGGCCGCAGUCAAAUGACUGAAACAAGUAAAAAGUAAAAGAGUAAAAGAGUAUAUAUAUAUAUAUAUACACACACACACAUAUAAAUGUUCUUUUAUUCUCUGACAUGCUUCAGCCCUAAGGCUGUGUCCAUGCUGGGGCACUGCCAGUAUAUAUAAUAUAUAAUAUAUAUAUGUUCCAUCAUAUAUAUGUAUAUAAGUAUAUUUUGAUUGAUUGUUUCUAUAACGAUAUUCCCGCCCACUCUGUUUGUCUCUCUCUUCAUAUAUAUAUAUUUGUACAUAUAUACACACAUACAUACUUACAUAUAUAUAUAUAUAUACACAUAUAUGUAAUACCUGAGUGAUGCAAAUAUAUAUUACAUUUUAAUAAACCCAUAUAAAUAUGAGAGAACCAAUUAGACAUAUUUCUAAGUAAUAUAUAUUUUUAUUACUUUAUUCUGGUGGAAGAUAACAUUACAUAGAGGAAAAAGACUCCAAGAAUUAGAUAUUACACUGAAUGAAAUAAAAGUAGUGUAUAUUGUUGGUGCCAAUUAUAUCUUUGUUCUCUGACUGCCAUUUUUCUAUCAAUAUAACUGGUUUCCCUGGCUCUUGUAUUGAAAUUCUUCACUUCUCUCCAUAACUUCUCACAUCAUGAUACAUACAUACACACACAUAUAUAUAUAUACAUAAAUAAUAAAAAUGGACAAAAAGGAAAAAGGAAUCAAUAUAUAUUCGCUGAUAUGUUUCUUUUCCCCCUGUCAUAUUACUAUUUUCUGCCGAUCCAUAAUAUAAAUUUUCCCCAGACUACGAAAUACAGCUCAAGUCAUGGCUAUGUGUCUUCAUCACUACCACUGUGACUUAUAGUUGCUUCUUUUUGCCAUGCUUUUUUUUUUUUCUUUAUCUCUUCAGCAUGUCUACUGAUGGUAGAAAAGAAUGAUUAGAGAACCUUCUCGAUGUUGUUUUUUUAGUACAUUUUCCGAUGUAUUUUUAUUAUCAGAAUUAGACAUAUUUACAUAUAUAUAUAAUUUCUGUUCAUAUAUUACACACAUAAAUACACAUGUGUGUGUGAUGCAUGGAUACAUGCAUGCCUAUACAGACAGACAUACAUAUAUAUGUAUAUAUAUAUAUAUACACACACACAUAAAUAUAUAUUAUAUAUCAUCAUCUUCAAAUAUAUAUAUACACAUACAUACGUACAUACAUACGUACAUACAUACAUAUAUAUAUAUAUAUACACACACAUAUAUACAUACACACAUAUAUAUAUAUAUAUAUAUAUAUAUAUAUAUAUACAUACAUGCAUGCAUAUAUGGGACAGGAUGUCACCAACGGUGCAAAUAACAUGAAAUACAUAAAUAAACGAGGGAAAAACGAGUGAAAUAUGUAAGCAACAAGAAAAGAAAAAUGGAAAACAGGACAUGUAAACACAGAGGAAAGACCGUUCAUCAGUUGUCAGCUGCCUAUCUACUCUUCGUUUCGAGCAUUUAACAACAAUAUGAGUCUUGAAAGACAGCUGCACCCAUAAAUUCUAAAAUAAAAUUUAGGAUUUAUGGAGGGUCAAAGAUGAGAACAAAAAAAUGACAGUGGAGACAUACUAGGAAACCAACACACACACAUAUAUAUACGUAAAAUACAUGUAUAUAUGAUCCAAAUGAGAAGACAUGGAAAGAUUUUAUCACAUUUUUAAUGACUAAUUACAAUCAUUUCUGUACCAACUCUGCUUACAACACCAGUUCAUGCUAAAGUUCCAAGUGAAAAAUUUACAUAUUUUGGUUCUAAGCAUUAGAGUAACACUUCUUCAGACUUGCAUCAAACAUGUGUUCUUACAGUGCGUCUGUCAGGCAUUGUGUUUUCCUUGUAUCAGGAGAAAAUAAAAAAGUGUAGGUAAAAAUAAAAAUAUAAAUGUGGUAAGUAGCUUGCUUACCAACCACAUGGUUCAGGGUUCAGUCCCACUGCGUUGCAUCUUGGGCAAGUGUUUUCUACUAUAGCCUCAGGCCAACCAAAGCCUUGUGAGUGGAUUUGGUAGAUGGAAACUGAAAAAAGCCCAUCGUAUAUAUGUAUAUAUAUGUGUGUGUGUAUGUUUGUGUGUCUGUGUUUGUCUCCCUAGCAUUGCUUGACAACUGAUGUUGGUGUGUUUAGCAGUUCGGCAAAAGAGACUGAUAGAAUAAGUACUAGGCUUACAAAGAAUGAGUCCAGGGAUCGAUUUGCUUGACUAAAGGCGGUGCUCCAGCAUGGCCACAGUCAAAUGACUGAAACAAGUAAAAGAGGUUGUGAAAAGAUGGACAGGGCAAAUACAAUGUCAAUCCCAAGGUAGGGAAAGCAUGGUUAAACUCACACAAAGGGUUUAUGAUUGUGACACCUAGAUUUUCAACACCUGAAGAAUAGCCUAAAGCUUGGUUGAGUGCCACAUUGGAAAAACCCCAUCUUUCUACCCACCAAAGACCUUAUACAUACAUACACACACACAUACAAUCAUAACAUACAUACACACACACACAACUGACAAUUGGACCCUGGACAGUUCCCGGCUGGCCAGCUCAUGUCAAACUGUCUGACCCAUGCCAGCAUUGAAAAUGGACGUUAAAUGAUGAUGAUGAUAUAUAUAUAUAUGUCCUGCUUGCUUAGCCAGCAGGAUGGCAUCAUUUGAAGGCUAAAACAAUGUGAAGCGCAUUGUGACCAGCAAUGUGUGGCGACAUCUGAUAGCCUGGUCGGUCACGGUGAUAUAUAUAUAUAUAUAUAUACACAUGUGUGUGUGUGUAUAUAUGCACACACAUACACAAUUAUUUUUAAGAUAUUAGAAAAUGAUGAUGUCUGUUAAUCAUUUUGCGUGUAAAUUAACUUAUAUUCCAAUAUCAAGUCGCAGGAAUUUACCUACAUAUUUCACUUUUUAAAAAUCCCGUAUGAACUGAUGAUAAUGAAAUAAAUAAAAGAAAGUGCACAACUGGGUUCUUCCCUAAAUUUUAUGGUCUUUCUGAGAAGAUAACCUUUAAAUAUCUACUUUUCUUCAGCGCUUAUUUUGUGAUAUCUGAUAAAUUUCUUUAGAGUAUGUUUCAUUCUUUUCAUUCUUUGUCAUUCAUUCAGUGUUUCAGAAUUGUUUCCUCGUACAUAUAAUGCUCAUAUUAUUCACUGUCUCUGAUUACAAAAAAGAAAAAAAAGUAAAAUAUAAAAAGAAAAGAAAAGAAAAGAAAUAAGAAAUAUGCAUUUAAUGGCAGUUUAGACUUUGUAUAGAACGACUACAAAGAAAGAUUGUUAACUGAUAUCUCGUUCUAGAAACUAGAUUUUCUCAUGUAGUUCAAAGAAUGUAAAUUACACUUAUUUUCAGAUAGAAUAUUGAUUGGGGGAAACAAAGAAACAAUUGGAAUACUUUAUUUUGUUAAAAGAUAAAAUUUUUUGCCCUAAUGUAACAUUUUUUAAAAAAUUUGCGUUAUCUGAAAAAUAAAGGCUUCACUUUUCAAUAAUUGCCCCUCAGCCACAAACUUGCUACAAAUCAAACAAUUUUAUUUAUGCAACUAGCAUUCUUUAUCUUAAAAAAAAAAAAAAAAAAAGGGAGGAUUAACAUAUCUGAAUUCUAAGAGUGGGUUGAAUUUUUUUUUUUUCUAAAUAAAUUUUCCUGUUAAUUUUGAUAUCACAUAAUCUUCUCUUUGCUUAGUGUGAGAUUAGAUAUUUUAUUUGCAUUGAUAUUAAAUAAUUCUGUAUAUCACAACUAACAUCAUAUUAUAUUAAUAUCAAUAUGAUUUUUAUUAUUGCUCAUCAUGAUAUAUAAUAGGAAAAAAUAUGAGCCCUAAGAUGUAAGCAAAAUGGAAGACAUAAUAUUCUAUGUUGAAAAAUAAAAAAUAUAUAUGUUUGUAUCUUUUUUUGUGGUUUUUGUUUUAUUGAUAUUGUUUUUCUUCUCAGAUAAAAUAAACUUCCUCCAUUUAUAAAGAAAUAUUGAAAAAUCUUGUUUGAAUAGCAAUACCCUUAUUAACUCAGUUUUAUAUCUCUAUAGCUAACUUCAAACAAACAUUUAUAUUAUGAUAUUACGAAAUGUUUUUUUGCCUGACAGUUUUAUGUUAAAAUUCCAAAGAAGAAUAUCUCUUUUAUUCUUUGUAUAAAUAAUCUCAUUUACAUUCUGUCUCCACUCCCCUAUUUUUAUUUUCAUUGAUUAAAAAACAAUAAGAAGGAAAAAAGAAAGAAGAAAACCCCCCCCCGACAAAGUAGAGAACAAAGGGUUAACAUUCUCAGAGAUGAGCAUCUUGGCAGUAUGACUCAUUCCUUACACAAGAAAAAUUUGAUAUAUGAGUGUUUGCUAUACAUACAUAACUGAUUAUAUAUAUUAGCAAUGAAUAUAAUUUAUAUUUAUAUACAAUUUUAGUUUUGUAUUCAUGAUAUAUUAUUGGAGCGUAACAGUAUAAAUGGUUUGGUUGUUAGAGAUAGUAUCAGUGAAUAUGUAAUAUAUAUAUAUAUAUAUAUAUAUAUAUAUAUAUAUAUAUACACACAUACAUAUAUACACAUAUAUAUAUUGGGUUAUGGGAAUUAUGCUGCUAUGCAAAUGGCAGUCAUGAUGCAUCAAUACAUUUUGAAAUUAUGUAUAUUGUAUAACUAUAUAAAGUUAUUGGCAAUAAAAGAAAUCAUUCGUUAUUUUGUUGCUAUAUUUAUUAUUAUUAUUAUUAUUAUUAUUAUUAUAUGGAAAGUAAUAUGGUACUAAAUGAUACUAAAAUACAAUUCUCUGCAGUAGUAAAAGGAAAGACAUAAUCAAGCUUAUAUCAUCACAAUCAUCCAUUUCCAGUAUUUAUAAAUAUCCCCGUCUAUUUCCGUGCUACUGCUAUAUGGCAAGUGAUCUAGUUUAUACCUAUUGCUAACAUAAUAUUAAGUUAACAUUACACUGGAACAUAAACAAAUUACUCUUUGAAUAGGGACGAUUUUUUUUUCACAUUUUUUACUCAUUCUUCUUCAUAAGAUAAUGUAUAUUUUAUAUGAAUAUAUAUUUUAUUUUCCUGUCCACCGCUGCACAAUUUAUUUUUUUGUCUUUUUUUUUGUGAGUUGUGCUGAAUCAUCUUUUAAGCUUCACCCUUUAGCAUCUGGUUCAUAUUUUUAACAGGGAGUUUCAAUGGAAAAGCAGAUUAUACAUGAACUGUCUUCUUUCAUUUAUGAUCUAACUAAUCCUACUGGAAUGAUCUAUCAUUAAGGAUGCAAGAAGAAAAUGUUAAGGAAGGAUUCUCAUGCAGAGGAUUCUGUAGUUUAUAUUCAUCAUUAUCAUCAUUGUUUAAUGUCUGCUUUCCAUGCUGGCAUGGGUUGGAUGGCUUGACUGAGGACGGGCGAACUAGUUGGCUGCACCAGGGAGUUUGCCAACAGUGAGUUUAAGUCUGUGUGCAAAAGGGAGACAUCAUGAGAUGUGUGCACAGUAAAGAAUUUAAGCUGGCUUUGCAAGGCACGGAGAUUCUAGACACUGAAGAUUUGUGGAAACUAUAUUUGAAGAGAAACUAAUUGAGUAUGAAAUAAUGUACAUCCUCAUCUUGCAGGAAAGGUGAAGAGCAAGUGAGAUAAGAAGGAAGCUGGGCAUUGGUCAAUGCACGCAGGAUUGGUGGGGAUUAACAUAAAAUAUGUAAAAGAUGAUGCAGAUAGGUAACCCAAUAUGGAAAAAGAGCUGUUUAAAGGAUGCUGCUGCUGUUGUUGAUGAUGAUGAUGUUGAUGUUGAGUGAAGCACUCUUCUGUAGUGAGAGAAGUCUGAAAUGUGGUCCUUUGCUAUUGGUAAGACUCGCAGAAGAGAAAGCAGAUCAACCCCCGACACCGAGAGCAUCGAUGGAUGGAUGAAUGCGCAUCCAGGCUCAGCAGUUGCGUAGGAAGUCGGGGACAAGAAACAGGGAGAAAGUUGGAGCGAAAGAGUACAACAGGGGUCGCCACCACCCCCUGCUGGAGCCUCGUGGAGCUUUAGGUCUUUUCACUCAAUAAACACACACAGUGCUCGGUCUGGGAAUCGAAACCGUGAUCCUCCGACCGCAAGUCCGCUGCCCUAACCAUAGGACCAUUGCGCCUCCACUGUUGUUGCUACUGAUAAUGAUGAUGCAUUCAUGUAUUUAUAUCUCUGCUGUAAUGUUUGAUAGAAUAUAUUUGUUUCAUUUCAAAGUGCAUUUAGUACAUUUGAAUAUUGGACAUUGUAGAUCUAUUCUAUAUUUAUUUGAAGCAUUGGUUAUUCUACAGAAGACGACUGAGAAAAAAUCACGGAUGCUUGCAAUGAUAAAACAUAGUAAAGUGAGUGCUAAUCCACUUAAUGAAAGUGAUCCAGAAAAAUUAUUUAAAAUUACUCUUAUAUUUUUAAUAAAAAAAAAAUCAAUAGCUGUAAAUGACUAAUUCUGCUUAAAAAAAACAAGGAAGACAACCUUGAAAUUUAAAUUAAGAUUAGUUUGAUAUAUAUGGGUUUGUUAUUUGGUAGUAUGGUGACAACUUCAGGCAUGUUUCAAGCUUAUUAGACCUCUUCAGCUAAGCAUAAUUUAACUGUAUUACUAGGUCUCAGAAUGACUACAAGAUAUUAUCCUUUCUUGUGUACAUGACUGAGAAUUUAAUUCCUGUUGGAUCACUUGUUCAUGUACGAUUGUUUACUCUGAAUUACACACACACACACAUGGAAAUAUGUAUUUCUUUAUUAGUUUUGAACUAAAUUUAAAGUUAAACUUGGCCCUUAAUAACCUAGCAUCAUUGGGGUCUGUGGUUUUCCAAGUCAAUGAAUCUGAUGGAUUACCUUUGGUUAGAUUAGCACAUAUCAUUUACCCAAUAGUUGACCACAUCAUCCUACCUUUAAAAUACUCUCUAAGUCAUUGGAUGAUGGUUGAUAUAGGAAAAGAGAACAUUAAAUGAAAAAUAAGUGAAAUUUUAAUGAGCAAAGUAAAAUAAAACAUCUAAGUAGAGUAAUUCUCUUGAAUUGCAUAAGAAGGUUUAUGAUUGUUGUUUGCAAGCUGAAAAGGUAGAACUUACAACUAAGCAGAAAAUCAGGAAGUGUGUGCUGCCUGUUGGGAUCAUGAUCUUCAUAUUGAAAGGUGAUUGAACUGGUCUUGUAUCUUUUUUAGGAAUUGGUGAUGUUGCUGAUAGUGUAUCUGUGUGAGUUGAUGACAAUAAUUUUUUAAAUAUUGAACCCUCGGCAGUGGCAGACUAGCCAAGUUGCCAGCUUGCCUGAUGGCAAGUGGGCCCCUGUGCCAUUAGAAUCCAUAUAUGUAAGUCCAUGUUAGUCUCUAAGGGACCCAUCAAGUUUGAAAAUUUUUUAUUCACUCCUGGAAGAAUACAUUAUUUCAGCUUGGCUGUGUUUGUAGACAGUUGAAAAGAAUACUUGUAACAACAACAACAAAAAUUUAAAGCAUUGUAGUUGCAGGUGAGCUCCCUUAGUCUCCUGGCAACCAAUAUUUUUAGACCUAGUCCACUGCUGCCCCUCUGUCCCAUGUUUUUGAGGAUAUACCUUUCAAGCUAAGAUGAUUCCUUUAUUGUAGUCUUUCUUUGAUUAGCUUAUCCUGUAACAUAUAAACUUUCAUUAUUCUUUACUGCUCUGUCUUCUUCAUUUUCAUCACAGCUUUCUUUAAAAAACACUGUUGUACCAGUGAAUUGGAUGUUUUACAUACCUUUGAAGGAAUUGUUUUUACCUUCAUUUGAUUUAUAUAUAUAUAUAUAUAUAUAUAUAUAUAUUUGAUAUUUGCCAUAUGAACUAUGACGAAAAAUAUGAGAAAGAUAUGGUAGAUAAUUUUGUUUUUUGUGUGCAGGGGUCCUUGAGACAUGUAAUUUUUUUUUAAGGGUUAUACAAGGGUAAAAAGGUUGAGAAGCACUGCUCUAAUGUGUAGCAAAUGUGUUGGAGUUUUACAGAUGACUAAGUCGAUCUGUCCCCACUGGAGGAGAUUUUUAAGUCCCUGUUCAUCAAAGAGUGAAAUCCUGAUGGGAGAUAUCUGGAUUGCUGUUGGAUGUCUCGUGUGAAGGAAGCUGAGCAUGUAUGAGGACUGUAUUUCCAUGUGAGUGCUUACUGCAGAAUGAACUGCAGCAAAAUCAUUAAUAUAGAGAAAAAAGACUACACUGGGAAGACAUAAUCCAGCUACACUGAAGUUGAUAGAAGGAGCAGGAAUGGUUCCAUAACUAACAUGUUUGCCUCCCAACCAUGUGGUUUCAGGUUCAGUCCCACUGCAUGGAACCUUGGACAAGUGUCUUCUAUGUUAGUCCUGGACCAAUUGAAGCCUUGUGAGUGGAUUUUCUUGACUGAAACUGAAAGGAGCCUGUCAUAAUUAUAAAUACAUUAUAAUUAUAAAUAAUUAUAAAUAUAUAUAAUUAUAAUUAUAAAUAUAUAUAUACAUAAUUAUAAAGAUAUAUAUAUAUAUAUUUAUUAGAGAAGUGAAUGGUGAGUUAAUGGUUAAUAAUUAAUUCAUUAACUUAUUCAUAAUCAUUCCCACAAUUACAAAUUUAUUUCAUAAAUUUAGAAUUUAUUAAUUGAGUAUUAAUUGAAACAAUUAUAGGAAUGAUUAUCAAUAAGUUAAUAAAUUAAUUAUUAACCAUUAACUCUCUAUUUUUUUUCUCUAAAUUGAAUAUAAAUUAUAUGCUUAAUAAUACACUUAUUUAUUUUAGGAAAAUUUUUUCCCAAUAAUAUAAGGUAUAAAACCUCUGUAAUCUUGGAUGUAAUCAUCCCUUCAAGAGGUUAAUAUAUCCUCACAUUAACUUUAUAUAUAUAUAUACAUACAUACACACACACACACACAUAUAUAUAUAUAUAUAUAUUCAAAAUGUGACUGUGUGUGUACUGUUGGCGAUUUUUUUCUCUGUCUUCCCUUCUUUGGAUCUUUCCUUUUCCUAUGUUUCUGACGAAGAGCUCCGCUCGAAACGUUAAACCCUCCUUCUUUCCUGAGCGUCCAAUAACACUAUACUUGUUCCACGUCCUCGCGUUGUUGUGUUUUCUCUUUGUGUUUUCAUGUUUGGAUUAACUAUAUAUAUAUAUAUAUAUGAUGGCCAUCCACCCGUAACCGAGGAAGACCAUUGCUGACCUUCAGGAACAUUGUGUGCCCUUGAAUAUAGGGGAAAAAAAAAAAAAAUGUAGCACAUAUCGAGCAGAGGUUAGAAAUGCCUGUGCAGAGUUUUAGGUCCAAUAAGGCUUGUCUGACACCUCAUAGAUGCUCUCCACUCUAUUGACAUUUUCCAGAGAGAAGCCAGAGCAAGAUGUUUGGUGCCAAUAUGAGUUGCAGGUUCAGGGAUGUGGGAGUGUCAUGAUCUCUAGCACAAACAUCCCCCACAACAUUGCUUGACAACCGAUGCUGGUGUGUUUACAUCCCCAUCACUUAGUGGUUCGGCAAAAGUGAGUGAUAGAAUAAGUACUAGACUUACAAAGAAUAAGUCCUGGGGUUGAUUUGCUCGACUAAAGGCGGUGCUCCAGCAUGGCCACAGUGAAAUGACUGAAACAAGUAAAAGAGUGAAAAGAGAGUAUUCUGUAUUUUGUGUUGCAAUAUCUUUUGAUACAUUGAAAAUUGAAAUCAUAACACGAGAUGCAGUAUUGAUGGCAGAUCUCAAAAUGCUGAGCCUUACAAAGGAGAUGACAGAGGACUAAGGUAUGUAGCACAUUGCUUUACUCAAGAAAGCCUGCCCACCACAACAGAAUUGAUAUCCUAAAACUAAGGUGCAAUAUAAAAAAACCCUUGGUGUGACUUCUGGUGCCAUAUAAAAAGCACUGGCGCUGGUGUCACAUAAAAAAAAAACACUCGGGUUGAUGAAAUUGAUUUGCACCCACCUCUAAUCAUCCCUUCAAGAGGUUAAUAUAUCCUCACAUUAACUUUAUAUAUAUAUAUAUAUAUAUAUACAUACAUACAUACAUAUAUAUUCAAAAUGUGACCGUGUGUGUACUGUUGGCAAUUUUUUUCCUCUGUCUUCCCUUCUUUGGAUCUUUCCUUUUCCUAUGUUUCUGACGAAGAGCUCCGCAUAUUCGAAACCAAUAUUUGAUGGUUGGAGGUUUUAUACUAUUUCUCAUACUUAUGACAGCCAUGCAUUGGUUCUUUCCUUUUUUAUGUAAAAAGCACAUGUGCUGUGCCGUAUAAAAAGCAUAUUUGCUGGUGCCACGUAAAAAGCACCCAGUACUCUGUAAAGAGGUUGGUGUUAAGAAGGGCAUCCAUCUAUAGAAACCUUGCCAAAACAGACAAUGGAGUCCAGUGUAACUCUCUGGCUUGUCACCUCUGGUCACCCCAUGCCAGCAUAGAAAAUGGAUGUUAGACAAUGAUGAUAAAGAUAACGAUGAUGUAUUUAAUAAUGAAAAUGCUGAGGUAAAAUACAUAUUAAUGUUAGUAAUAUAGAAAUGAAUAGUUAAGUGUAUUUCGAUUUUGGAUUUGGUUUGCAAGAUUCUUUAUAUGAGUACGUGUGUUGAAGCAUAUUCUGUUGUGUCUGGGGAGAGUCAUUUUCUUUUUGUGCCUUAUAAUGUAACACACUCACCGGUAAAAUUUCCACUUUUUUCGUAUUUCUAUUUUCCUAAAAUUUUCAUUGCGUCUUGCAACCUUUUCAAUAGUUUUGACUCUAAGUGUAAUCUUUUGAAAAUUUAAUGCAAUAGAUUUACAUACAGAUCUUAGCAAUCAGAUCUGUUAUUUAAAAUUUUAACAUUUGACGAUUGAAACGACCAAUAUUUCAAAAGCCUGUAAAUGUAUAUCUUAUUUCAGCAACCUCAGCAAUUUUCACAGAAAAUUUUAUUGUCAUCUGAAAACUAAUGUAUUUCUGAUGCUUUUAUUUACGAAUUUUUACCAUUCCAUUAAACCUUCUGUAGCAGUAUUACUAAUAACAAUUCACUUCCUAAGCAUUUCAAUUAAUCUUUCAAAUAAUCAAGAAUUUGGUUAGAUUUAGUAAAAUACUUAACUAUCUCAUUAUUUUGUUGUUUAGAACAUAUCUUAAGUAAUUAUGUAAAAAAAACCCAAGAUUUUAAUUUGAAUAUCAAUCAACACUUUAAAAUAACAUAGAAUGAGAGGCAGCCUCAAGUAGGUUUGUGUAAAACAAAAAACAAAGAAAAUAGUAAAUAUAUAUUUUGAAUAUUCGUUAGUUCAAAGAUGGAGCAUUAUAAGUAAUAGUUGAUGGAAUCAUAAAAUGUUAUAAAUAACAUUUUUUGUCAAUUACUAUUUUAAUGUUAUCAAUUACUAAUUUUAUGGUGUUAUUAAAUAUUUCGUUUUGUUGGAAUUAAUUUAGUUCUCACUUUGAUAUUAUUUCAGUAGUUCCUGAAAGUACCUAAUUUUUAUAUCGUUCAAAGUAAACGCAAAGUUAUAUUUCAGCUUAUGUCUUUUAAAUUCUAAAAACUAUGUAAAUUAUUGCAGUCAUGAAACAAAAAUCAUGAUGCUUUUUUUUUUUUUGGCUCCUUCUGUUACUUCUCCUUGUUGACCUCCUAAUCAUCAUCAUCAUCGUCAUCGUCAACUGCAGAAGUAUCAUCAACGAAAACUUUUCUCAUUUAUGUUAGAUAAAAUGCAUUAAAAUCAAUGCCAACUUGUGGAACCAGAAUAACAAUUAUGACAGUAAUUAUAAUAUUUAUGAUUUUUUUUUCUCUUAAACAAUAAUUAUAAUAUUAAUGCCAAGUUGCUUAGCAUAAUGAUUCUCCUAUAAAACUGAACAUUGAUAUUUUCUCAUAAAUAUAAAUAAGUUACAUAAAGUACAUUAAAAAAAAUGAUAUUGACUUAGAUUUCCUUUAUUAAAUAUCAAUUUAAAACAAAAAUUAACACAUUAAGUGUACAUAAAUGCAAUUGAAUUUCAUACAAAUUUUAAGUGGCAAAAUUACUGCUUUUACAUCAAUUUGAAUCAUGUGAAGUUAUUAAAAUUAUAAUUGUUUUUCAUUCAUUAACUGCCCGGAAUAUACAGAAAGAAAUAAUUAGAGGUUUGGAUUAGCUUGAAGAGAUUGCUAUUUUCCUUAAAUGCUAAUGAGAUAUGUGAUAACUAGAAAAUGUAAUCAGAAUAUUUAGAAGUGAACAAUAAUACCACAAAUAAAAGCCAGAAGAUAUUUCUUAAUCUGAUGAGAUUAGAGAGAGAAAGGAAGAGAGAGAGAGAAGAAUUUGGAAGUGAAUAGUGUCAGCGUUCUCUUCCUCAUCAUAAUUGGUUUAACAUCUUGUGCUGACAUAAGUUGGUUCCUAAAACACCCUUUCUGCAUUAUUAGAAAGGCAUUUCCAAAUUCAUUCUCCUUCUAAUAUUUAUCAAAGUCUAUUGGUUAGUUGUCUUCAGCUUAGCAACCUCCCAUAGUAAUAAUUAAUUCCUGUUUACAUGGAUCCUGUUAGGGAAGGUUUGCUCUAUCUACCUUAUUAGCUAAUUGAAUCACGUCUGAAAUAAUUUAUGUGAAUAGCUGAUGGAAUUCUAGGAUAUGACCUUUGUUGAGGUCAGUGUUGUCUGACAGCUUCUUAAAGACAUACAUCUUUCUCCUUUUAUCUGUGGAUUAUAGAAGCCAAACCAGACGCCUUAAAUUUGGUCUCAUAUGGCAGUUAUUUCCCCAUUGCAAUUGAUUUGGUGAUUAUUUUUUUUUUUGUACAUUUUCUGCAAUAAUCUAAUCUCAUUGAAAUGUUGUCUGGAAAUGAAGACAUCACGUUUGAGAUGUAGCUACACCUUAGUCAAAAAGAGUCUUGGGAAAAGGUUCUUCUUCAGUUCCAUUGAUGGUGUAGGUUUGUUUUCUUUUACUAGAUACAGUGUUAUGUGGAACAUCAGUGACUCAUCAAUGAACUCACCUGGACCUUGCCUUCAUUAGUAACUUCAUUUGUAACUCAACUCUUUAUUAAAUAAGAAUUGUUUGCAUUGUUUAAAUGUAAACACAAUUAUUUUUCACAAUCAAGGUUAAUUAAAUUCAGUUUUCAGUUUAUUUAAAUUUUGUAUAAUUUUGCUGAACUCAUUGUUUUCCAGUGUUCAAUGUCUUAAAGUCAUUAACAAAAAGCUUUCACAUACUUUCAGUUAAUAAUUUCAUGUCAUUUCUGAAAAUAAGAAACAAAAUUGAGCCAAACAAAGAAUAUCACAACUAUCAACCAUCAAUACAAUUUAAAAAACAAAAUUACUCCCACCACGUUUCUUUAACAGAAUUAAUUAAAAACUCCCCACCCUCAAAACUGGUGCUCUGUUGGUUAUGACAAUGAGUGUUCUGAUUGAUCUGAUCAAUGGAACAUUAUCAUCAUUGACCUCGCUUGAAUCUUUUACACAUGCCACCGGCACAGGUGCCAGUAAGGCGAUGCUGGUAACGAUCACGCUCAGAUGGUGCCUUUUACGUGCCACUGGCACGGAGGCCAGAUAACCGCUCUGGCAAUGAUCACGCUCAGAUGGUGCUCUUAAUACCCUACUAGCAUGGGGCUCGAGUGCCAGUAAGGCGACACUGGUAACAAUCACGCUCGAAUGGUGCCUUUUAGGUACGUGCCAGGAAUUGAGUGCUCCAUAAACACAUGUAUCCUGUAACAGAGUUCUCAGGGAGAUUCAGUGUGACAUGGAAUGUGACAGAGCUGACCCUUUGAAAUACAGGACAACACACUUUUGUCAGCUGAAUGGACUGGAACAACCUGAAAUGAAGUGUCUUGCUCAAGGAUGCAAUUCACCAUUGAGUAUUGAACUCAUGGCCUUAUGAUCAUGAGCUAGAUACCUCAACCAUUCAGCCACAUGCCUUUCAGUGAAAUUACUGACAUGCUAAUUAACAGACUUGAUAGAUAUUUGAAAAGCAUUUUUAAAUAUGAAAAAAGAUAUUUUAUGAACCAACAUAUGAUGGUACAGGGAGUUAAAGAAAUUACACAUCUUGGGCUCAAAGAAUCUUCAAAAGUCUUUACUUAGAAACAAAAUAAAAUGUUUUGACGUGUUUAGAAUGUACACCAAAUGCAGUCCAGGGUUCUAAAGAAUGAAGUAACUUUUAGCAUUUUGUUUUCAUGUGGUGCAGAAUAAUGUGAUCUUCGUUUAACAAACAGAAUAUUACUAGCACUAUGGCUAACAAUGAUCUUUCUGAUGAUAGACUCUGAUACUUUCACAAGGCCGGCAUCAAACUGAUUCAGUUAAUGGCUUCGCUGAAGACUUAAACCUCUUCUUGUUCAAUGCAUUAACACAGAAAUCUUUCCUUUCAGCCCAUCAAAUUUACUUUGGUUGGGUUACAUAUCUUAAAAGGCGUUCUAAGAUUUUCUUCAUUCUAAAUUUCCAGCAAGCUCUUUCUAAUUUUUGUUGAGCUAAUCUUAUUUUAAUUUAGUUAAUCAUAUUCUAAUUUAGCUAAUUUUAUUUUGAAGUUAAGAAAACCUGUUCCCUAUUGUUUUACAUUCUUUUUUUUUUUUAUCGUUGAUAAAAUUAGGGACCCAGCAACAACUCUGAUGUAAUAUUCUUUUCUACUCUAAUCACAAGGCCUGAAAUUUUUGGGGAGGGUGUCAGUCGAUUAGAUCGACCCCAGUACGCAACUGGUAUUUAAUUUAUCGAACCUGGAAAAAUAAAAGGCAAAGUCAACCUCAGCGGAAUUUGAACUCAGAACAGAUGAAAUGCCACUAAGCAUUUCACCUGAUGUGCUAACGUUUCUUAUUUCUUUAUUGCCCACAAGGGGCUAAAAAUAGAGGGAACAAACAAGGAUAGACAAAGGGAUUAAAUCGAGUAUAUUGGCCCCAGUGUGUAACUGGUACUUAAUUUAUCGACCCCGAAAGGAUGAAAGGCAAAGUGUACCUCAGCGGAAUUUGAACUCAGAACGUAGUGGCAGAUGAAAUACCAUGAAGCCUUUCGCCCAGCGUGCUAAUGUUUCUGCCAGCUCACUGCCUUCUCUGAUGUAAUAUUUGUGCAAAAAAGAAAAAUUCAUACACAAGAAUGAUUCCCAGUAAAACCUUGAAAGCAUUUCAGAUUGAUUUCAUGAUAAAUUCUUCAUAUUCAGUCAUAACAUCUAUCAACAAAUACAAGAUCAAUGUCCUUCUACUCGCUUACAUGUACUUUAGUAAAAUUUUCUUCGCCUGUUUGUUACUUGCUAAAUAUUAAAGGAAUGUCAAGGUAAUUGUUGGAAGAUAAAAAUAUCAAUUCAGAAAUUCCAUUGACAAACUUUGUUUAAAGGGAGAAACUGAUAUCAAAUUCAUGUCUGAAUUUGCUUUACAAUUAAAAAAAAAAAUUGCUACUGAUCUUUUGAAUUUCCAGAUGAAUAACUUGCUUUUAUUGUUUUUUUCAAUGGAAUAUAUUAUAUAAAAAUCACUGUUCAGUCACCUCUUAAUGACUGUAUUCCUUUGGGAAUUCAUUCAGCUGAGGAAAUUUUGUGUAGUCAAACAUCUAUAUGAGCUGUCUCCACUGUAACUCUGCUUUAUUUAAAAAAAUACAAUUUGGAGGUCAUUUGUCACUAUUAAUAGUGGUUCAGUGGCAUAUUUUGAACAUGUGACAAAAAGCAGAUGUAUGAUUGCAUAAUACUAAAGCCUGAUUAACACUCAUGCAGUUUCAGGUUCCAUGCUGUGUGGCACCUUCAACAACUGUCUUCAUUAUAGAUGGGGCUGGCUAACCCCUGUGAGUGAAAUUUGGUAGAAUGAAAAUUGAAUGAAAGCCUGCUACACACGUGCACACAUUCACACACUGUUUUUACAACCAUUUACAUCCUCAGUCAAUGCUACACCACCAGACCAAUGAUCUAACAAGAAUACUCUUGUUUAUUCCUUUAGUAUUCAGAUUUCUCUGUCAAAAGUAAUAUUUGUUAUUCACAUAGUUUUGAAUUAAUCAUGCAAUAUCUCAUAGCUUGAAGAUUUUGAUGUGAUUGUUUCUUUUUAGAAUGACAUUGUAGGGCAGGUGUGAGAGGUUAGAUCUGGCCAGUUUGAACAUAAAACAUGUGGAAUAUUUUGGCCAGAUAUCUCUCUCUUUUACUUGUUUCAGUCAUUUGACUGUGGCUAUGCUGGAGCACCACCUUUUAAUCAAGCAAAUCAACCCCAGGACUUACUCUUUGUAAGCCUAGUACUUAUUCUAUCAGUCUCUUUUGCCAAACCGUUAAGUUAUGGGGAUGUAAACACACCAGCAUUGGUUGUCAAGCGAUGUUGGGGGGACAAACGCAGACACAAAAAUAUAUAUACACACACACAUACGUAUAUACAACGGGCUUCUUUCAGUUUGUGUCUACCAAAUCUACUCACAAGGCUUUGGUCGGCCCGAGGCUAUAGUAGAAGACACUUGCCCAAGGUGCCACACAGUGGGACUGAACCCGGAAUCAUGUGGUUAGUAAGCAAGCUACUUACCACACAGCCACUCCUACGGAUAUGGUCGGUUUAAAUGCUAAAAGGUUAUAGAAAUCAGUAAAGAAGUUAGUUGCUGAUGCAUGUUGAUAUUUACCAAAGAGAUAUAAUGAUUCCUGAGGUGUAUGCAGAACUGUGAGAAUACAAACAGCAAUGUAACUAUGCAUUCCCAAUCCUUUCUGGCUGAUUCAAAUAUGUAUAUAUGAUCACUGUUAUUUUCAGUCAUCAGAGAACCUCUCUUCCUUUUAGAUGAAAUACAUUCAUAACACAAUCUACCAGUUGAUGUAGACUUUGUGGCACCGUGAUGUUUCAACCUUAUUGUGUCUCUUCAGUUAACCAUUUCGUUACCAACCCGGCUGAAACCAGCUCUGGCUCUGAGUACAAAUGUCUUGUUUUCAUAAGUUUUAAAUUAAAAUCUUCCAUCAAACCUUAGCCACAAUUCAUGUUCCUAACAUUAGCUUCAUGAUAACUAAGUUAUUGUACUAAAUUCUUUGUUAUAUCUAAAAUUAAUUGAAAGAAACACAGAGCACCUCAAAAUAAAUACAGUUAUGAAAGGGUUAAAGAUAUCUAACCGGACUGAUGAAUCUCAGAAGGCUCUUGUAUAAAGAAAUCUGCAAACAAAAUAUUUGUAGAUGCAUGUUGAUGCUUACCAAACAAAUAAUAAUUCAGUCUAUGAAACCAGUGUCUUACAAUAAGAAUGACUUGGACUAUGACAACCCCUCUGACUCAUGCCAGUAUAGAAAGCAGACAAAAAAGGAUGAUGAUGAUGAGGAGGAGGAGGAUGUAUAAAUAUUAGGGGUUACUGAAAAGUCCCUGGCUUUAAGAGUAUUAUAAAAAGCCUGGUUGGAGAACCAACCUUCUGAGAUUUUUUAUAGGGCUUAAAGAAACUGAAGGACUGCUGUAAUAAGUGUGUGAAUCUGAGAGGGGGAUAUAUUGUAUAAAAUCAUAAUUAAUAAAACCUCCUUUAUUUUCUUUUACCCAAAGCCAGGAACUUUUCAGCACUCCCUUGUAUGUAUAUAUAUAUUUUUUUCCUCCGUCUUCCUUUCUCUGGAUCUUUCCUUUUCCUAUGUUUCUGACGAAGAGCUCCGCUCGAAACAUUAAACCCUCCUUCUUCCCUUCCAUCCUGAGCGUCCAAUAAUACUAUACUUGUUCCACGUCCUCGCGUUGUUGUGUUUUCUCUUUGUGUUUUCAUGUUUGGAUUAACUAUAUAUAUAUAUAUAUAUAUAUAUAUCAUCAUCAUCAUCAUCAACGGACAUUAAAUGAUGAUGAUAUAUUAUGUGGUAAGGCCUCAACAAGAAGAAAAGUUCUUGAUCAGCUAAGAGAAUAAAGAUAAUAUAAUAAAAACCACAAUUCUUGUUAAGUACGGCUACUCAGGGUUUUCUGGUUGAAAUAAUAAUUUAUUUCACCAUUUUGUCAUGAUGAGAACAGGACUGUUUAUCUGUUGUCUUUUGAGCAGAUGAUGUUUAAACAAGAGAAGCUGGUAAGGAAGAAGACAUGGAAAAUAAAAAAAAAAGCACAAGGGAGAUAAUCAAUGCUACAAUAAUUCAAUGUCGAACAGAUGUAAACAAGAGAGUAACAGUUUACUAAGUGUCUGGUGGUCUGCUAUUAAAUUCUGACAUGAGGUGUUUCUUGAGAUGCAGACAUACAACAAAAAUUUAAUUCCUGGAAUUUAUGUAUUCAUUGGAGGUUCUCGAGUUCUUUAAGAGAUACACUUUUUCAAGAGAACGUACUGAACAUUUUCUUGGACUGUUAAUAUAGGGUCUGGUUUUGGAGAAGAUUUUCCUUUCAUGUUGAAACUAGUUCCUUCAUCUUUAAGUUUCCAGAUUAAAGCCAAAAGGGUCUCUUAUCACUGUGCCUGAAAUUCAAGAGAUGGUUGUUAUAAAUUUUCCUUCUAUGCAGCUCUGUUGUGUGACUUUUAGACACCCCCUGAAACUUUUUGUUUCGAGGCCCCAUCCCUUCAAUCAAAAUUCAUUAUCUACACAUCUUUUUAUUCAUAGCUGUAUUUUACUUUCUUCCAUCUGAAGUUCAGUGUUUCACGUUAUCCUAAAUAACAUCUUUAAAAGUACAAGUUAAAUUUAUUUAGGUCUGUUACAAAUUUCAAUAAGUAAAAACCUCCAGACAUGAAUAAAAGAGCAUUUUUAUAAUCCAGAAAACUUUCAAAGACAAACACGGCACACUUUUUGCUUUGCGAAAUCAUUGUUCAGUUCAGAAUAAUCAGGCUGAGAGCUAAGUUCACAUUCAAUAGAUAUCAUAGACAAUCCACAAAGUCUGGUACUCGUUCAUGGUACAAUACUCUUUACUCUUUUACUCUUUUACUUGUUUCAGUCAUUUGACUGCAGCCAUGCUGGAGCACCGCCUUUAAUCGAGCAACUCGACCCCGGGACUUAUUCUUUUGUAAGCCCAGUACUUAUUCUAUCGGUCUCUUUUGCCGAACCGCUAAGUAAUGGGGACAUAAACACACCAGCAUCGGUUGUGAAGCAAUGCUAGGGGGACAAACACAGACGCACAAACACACACACGCAUAUAUAUAUAUAUACAUAUAUACGACGGGCUUCUUUCAGUUUCCGUCUACCAAAUCCACUCACAAGGCUUUGGUCGGCCCGAGACUAUAGUAGAAGACACUUGCCCAAGGUGCCACGCAGUGGGACUGAACCCGGAACCAUGUGGUUGGUAAACAAGCUACUUACCACACAGCCACUCCUUUGCAGGUACAAUGUAUUACCAUUUUAUUUCUUGAAAUUUUCACUUAACAUAACUAGUUUAAUUCUUAUUCCCCAUCUUAAACAAAAUAAAUAGAUAACUUAUCUACGUACUUUGAUGUUAAUACGGGGUGCCUCGACCACAGAGACUCCCUGCGAAGACAGAGCUUGCAGGGGCUUAGUGACAGCCCUGCUCGUAUGGCUAUUAUUAAGGUGAUGCAUUGGGAGAAUCGGUAAAGCUUCAGAAAAAUUGCCUUGCAGCAUCUUGCUGUAUAACUCUAUGUUCUGGUUUCAAAACCUGUUGUGGUCUAAUUUGUUUUUAAUCCUACUGUGUUGAUAAAGUACCACUGAAGGACUAAAACUGAUGCAGUCAAUCUUAGUACUGAAUUGAUGUCUCCUGUGCUGGUGGCACAUAAAAAGCACCAUCUGAAUGUGGCUGAUGCCAGGUCCGCCUGACUGGCUCCUGUGCCAGUGACAUGUAAAAAGCACCAUCCAAAUGUGGCUGAUGCUUGUACCCCCAGACAGGCUCCUGUGCUGGUGACAUGUAAAAAGCACCAUCCAAACAUGGCCGAUACCAGUACCCCCAGACUGGCUCCUGUGCCAGUGGCAUGUAAAAAGCACCAUCUGAAUGUAAUCAAUGCCAGGCCCACCUGACUGACUCCUGUGCCGGUGGCACGUAAAAAACACCCACUGCACACUUGGAGUGGUCGGCAUUAGGAAGGGCAUCCAGCUGUGGAAACAUUGCUUGAUCAGAUUGGAGCCUGGUGCAGCUGCUGGCAUUCCAGACCUCAGUCAAACCGUCCAACCCAUGCCAGCAUGGAAAAUGGGCGUUAAAUGAUGAUGAUCUAGCAGGAAUAACCUAAACAUAAUCUCUUCCAGAUUCCCAUUAAAGUGGUAAUGAAUAACACACGUAGAAAAAGAAGAUAGAAUACUAAAAAUAGACAACCAAUCACGUUGCACCUUUAUAGCUGAGUGUGUUUAUGAUUCAUUGUUAAUGGUAUCCCACCUAGAUGUUCGAUUUUGUUUUCAAUUGAAAAAAGAAAAUAGAUUUUUUGCCUUGAAACAAGCAUGUGGUGAACCCAGCACUUUGUCCGGUAAAUGAACAAAGCCCAGACUCUUUGUAAUUGAGGAAACAGUUGAUGACAUUUAAUUUUUUGGAUGAAGAGUUUACCCUUACACAGAGAAUGAGAUUGAUUCAGAAAAUAAAACUGUUGAAAGUGAUGAGAAAAGUAGCAAAUCAGAUAAACAAAUUAAGAGAGAAGCCUAUUAUUGUUAUUGGCCUGAAUUUUUUUUUGUGAUUCUGUCCUUUAUUUUGACUGGAGUCAUUGCUCAUGAGCUGUGUAUACAACUAUUAAUUUUAAUUUAAUUUAAUUUUUUUUACUUAAGAGCCCAGAUGGAAAGUAAAAUUAGACAAAGGGGCCUAGGUGCAAGAGGGUUAAUAUUAAGAUUAUUAAGGUGGCGAGGUGGCAGAAAUGUUAGCAUGCUGGGCAAAAUUCUUAGUGGUAUUUCGUCUAUCUUUACAUUCUGAGUUCAAAUACCUGUUUCUUUGCUACCCACAAGGGGCUAAACACAGAAGGAACAAACAAGGACAGACAGAUGGAUUAAGUCGAUUAUAUUGACUCCAGUGCGUAACAGGUACUUAAUUUAUUGACCCCAAAAGGACGAAAGGCAAAGUCGACCUCAGCGGAAUUUGAACUCAGAACGUAACGGCAGACGAAAUACCUCUAAGCAUUUCGCCCGGCAUGCUAACGUUUCUGCCAGCUUGCUGCCUUCUCUGAGUUCAAAUACCGCCAAGGCUGCCUUUGCCUUUCUUCCUCUUGGGGGUCAAUAAAUUAAGUACCAGUGAAACCCUGUGGUUGGUGUAAUUAAGUAGCCACCUCUCCCAAAAUUUCAGGCCUUGUGCCUAGGGUAGCAAAGAAUAUUAAGAUUAGCACAAUUACUAAAGAAUUGGGUAAAAUGUCUUGCAGUGUUUGGUCUGGCUCUUUACAUUCUGAUUUUAAAUUCCUCUGAAGUCAUUUUAACCUUUUAUACUUCUGGGGUUAAAUAAAACACUUGUCAAAUAUUAGGGUCCAUGUAACCAAGUAACCCUCUCUCACAAAUUUGUGGACUUGUGCUUUUAAAAAUAAUAAUAAUUGUUACUAUUUUUUUUCAAAAUAUGUAAGAGGCAUAUUUUGUUUCUGAGAGAAGGUUUAAUGAAUGUUAUAAAUUUUGCGUUGUAUCCUGGGAAAGGGGCCUUAACCUAUUUUUUCAUACCCUCUAAUUGGAGAGUAGUUCCUUUAUAUGGUGUGUGCUACAAAGGAUAUCCAUAUACAAAAACACCUAUUAUUUCUAAAAUAGAAGGCAAACACUUUUUUCUCCUGCCAUUUAAUACUAACUUUGUUUUUAUAUUUAUAUCUCUUAAUUACAUUUCCAUUUUAGUGUCUUAUUUUGCAUUACAGGCAUUAGAUACACAAAAAUAUAUAUAAAUACACAAAAUAUUUAAAAUCAUUUAUUUUAUCAGUAAACAUAUAACUUCUAGAUGAAAGUAAAUAAUUCAAUAUUUUCAUGCAUUAUUUUGUUUGUAGUAUCUAUAAAAUUUUGAUUCUCUAUUAACAGAAGCUUUCUCAAACAUUAAAUUUAGUCUAUUCGAGAUGUAACGGCUUUCUUUACAUUUUUUUUGCGAAAAUGUUUAGGUUCAUUUUAUUUUCUUUUUAUCAGGCCUAACAGCUCUGCACUCAAUUCAUUUGUUGUGGGGAAAGAAUAAAGGAUCACGUUGGAUCUUUUAAAUUAAAGAAAUGGAAAUUAUAUUGUCAUUUUUAUUAUGGUAAAUACCUUUAAAAGUUUAUUAAUGAUUCAGUAAUCAAAAAUAAACUUCCAUGUGAAUGCAACCCUUUUUGUAUUUCACAGCAAAAAGGAUCGAGUCAUAAAUAUUGAUUUUUAACGAUCAUAAUAAUUUCUUGUGCAGAAGCGCAAGAUUAAUAUUAUUUGUGUAGUUAAAGCUCCUUCCCGAGUCAUAUACACUCAGAAGGAUGGUUUUCCAGUUUUUGUGGUGUAUACAUUUUCCCCUGGAUGGGAUGAUAGUCUGUUGUAGGAUAGUGUUGUUGAGUGAGCUGGUGUGACAUGAAAUGAAGUGUUUUGCUCUCAAGAAUACAAUGCAUUACUUGGUUCAGGAAUUGAAAACACAAUCUUACAUUCAUGAGACCAACACACCAACCACUAAGCCAUGUGCCAUUGCCAUUAUUUAUGCAGGAGAAGGCAGCAAGCUGGCUUAAUUGUUAGCACGCUGGAUGAAAUACUUAGUAGUAUUUUGCCUAUUGCUACAUUCUGAGUUCAAAUUCUGCUGAGAUCGAGCCUGCCUUUCAUCCUUUCGGGGUCAAUAAAUUAAGUACCAGUUGUGUACUGGGACUGAUCUAAUCAACUGGCCCCCUCUCUCCCCAAAUUUCGGGCCCUGUGCCUAGAGUAGAAAAGAAUCAUUGUUUAGCAUAGGGGUAGAACCCCUCACCUGCAUUCAAAUUUUUGACUACCCACAAAUAUGAUCUCUAAAAUUACAUGUGAGAAAAACCAACAAGACCAGGUUAAACCUUAAAACUAAAGCAGUCAUUUAUGUUAUAAAGCAAUGAAUUUGCACCCCCUUGACUGGUUCCUGUGCUGGUGGCAUGUAAAAAGCACCAUCCAAAUGUGAUCGACGCCAGGCCCACUUGACUGGCUCCUGUGCUGGUAGCACGUCAAACACACCCACUAUACUCUCAGAGUGUUUGGCAUCUGAUAGAUAGACAUUUUCCAGUCAACCAUACUUACAGAAAGCUCUUCAAUAGACAUAACUUAAAAUUCAGUUUCAGCUCUAUUACCAAUUUUAAAAAUAUAAUCGCACACAACACACAAAAACCACAGUAUGAAACCAGCUGUUCAUGCAGGGAUAAAAAUUUAUGACCACAAAAUGGAGCUUGCAUGUCCAAGGCCAUCAUUUAUGAAGCCACCAUGAACUCUAUAUCCACUAAGGACACGAUUUCGACGAAGAAAUAUGUGCAUCUUACAGAGGGUAAUUUCAAGGCCAGGUUCAAUAAUCACACCUUGAGCUUCAGGCACUGGGAUAAAAGGAAAACAACCAAAUUAUCCAGUCAUAUAUGGUCCUUAAAAGAUAAAAGUGUCAGUUACAACAUCCAUUGGAAGAUCUUAGCCAAGUGUAAGCCCUACACCAACAGCAGUGGAAAGUGCGGUCUUUGUGAUAUGGAAAGAUGGCUCAUCUGGAAAAGCCGCUUAGACACUGCUACAUGUCUGAAUUCAAGAACUGAACUUUUCGGGUCAUGCCCUUAUGUGGCUAAAUAUUUGUUAUGUUUUUGGACCCCUGAGAUUACAGAUAGGACUUGCUUUCUAUAUUGUGUCUAUGUACAAGCUUUUUACCUCUUUAUACUUUUUACUUAUAUUUCUAUAUUUUUAUAUAUAUUUAUAUAUUUUUUAUACAUAUAUUUUUUACAUAUUUAUAGAGAUAUUGUUUUAUAGGUUUAUUGCUCAUAUAUUUUUUACACAUAUUUUUUCUGUAUUCCAUCUUCCAUCCUGUAUUUUUCCGUGCAUAUAUAGAUGUGUAUAUGGAAUCCUUUGUGCACAUGUGUGGAUGUGUGCGGGUAUGUGCAUAUAUAAAUAUGUGUGUGCAUGCAUGAGAGUAUGUGUGUAUAUAGACGUAUUUUACUCAUUGUUUUUUUACACUUUUUCCUGUAUUUUUGCCUUUAGCCAUUUUUUCUUGUGCAUGAGCGUAUAUAGAAGUGUGUAUGAACAUUUUUGUGUGUGUGUAUAUAGAUGUGUGUGGGUAUGCCCGUAUAUAGACGUGUGUGUGCGUGCAUACAGGUAUGUGCAUAUAUAGAUGUGUUUUACUCUUAUUGCUUAUUUUUUUAUACUUCUUUACACUUUCUGUAUUGUUGCCCUUAGUCCUGUUUUUUCUUGUGCUUGUGCAUAUAUAGACAUGUGUAUGAACCUUUGUGGUGCACGUGGGUAUGUGUGGGAUUGUAUGUGUAUAUAUUGAUUGAUUGAUUGAUUGAUUGAUUGAUUCUAGUUUCAGCUUAUGAGCUGUGGCCAUGCUGGGACACCGCCAUUUGGUGUUGCUACUUGGUUUCACUUCACGAAAGCUUUCUAGCAACUGCCAUUUGGUGCAUGAGAGAGUUCGAUGCAGCUGCCCUCAUAUAUAUAUAUAUAUAUAUCUUUUGGUGAAUGGUGCGGGUGAAAAUGUGUAUGUUUCAAGUGUGGGUGGAUGAGUGUAUACUUAUAGAUGCAUGUAUGUGGGUAUGCAGGUGCGCAUGUGUAGGUAUGGCCAUGUGCGCUUACGCGAAUACUAUGUACAUUUUUACCCCCUUACUUUUACUCCCUCCCCUCACUUAGAGAUCAUUCAAAUAGCUUUUUGUCUUAAUAACGGUCAAUCACACAGUAAUUUCCCUUUGUUUAACGGUCAUUUUCAUAGCAUUUUCCUGAUAACAUACAUAUAUACACAUAUAUAUAUACAUACAUAUAUAUAUACAUAUAUAUAUAUAUAUGUAUAUAUAUACAUAAAUAUAUAUAUAUAUAUAUAUAUAUAUAUAUAUAUAUAUAUAUAUACACACAUAUACAUACAUACAUAAAUAUAUAUAUAUAUAUACAUAUAUAUAUAUAUAUACACAUAUAUAUACAUAUAUAUAUAUAUAUAUAUAUAUAUACACACAUAUAUAUACAUACAUACAUAAAUAUAUAUAUAUAUGCAUACAUACACACAUGUAUAUAUAUCAUGCAAGUUGAUAUUAAAAGGGUUAAAAACAUUUUUUUUAUUGAAAUUAACUUUUAGUGUCAUUAAGAGGUGCCAGAAUCUUUAUAAUUAUUAUUUUCGUCCUCUUUGUUUAAGUAAAGAGUAAAUUUCAAUUCAUUAAGAAUUUUUUGCAUACCUCAUUCAGUAAUCUUAGACUUUCCUGAUUUAUCAUAAUGCAUAAUGUUAGUUUACUUUGAGUUCUUUCCAUUAGUUUAAUUUUGUUUAAUAUCAUUAAUCUAAAUGUUGUUAGAAGUAACUGUGUUAUUUAUUAAUCCAUUACAGCUUUUAUUGAUUUAUUCCUUUACUAAAAUACAUCUGGGUAUAUCAUUAACAAAUCAUGGUGUGUUAUUAUUAUUCGCUUUUAGAAAACUAGAUUUUAUUUGAGAGAAAAACGUAUCUUAAUGUUUACUUAAUAAGGCAGCCGUGAUUACAAAAUGUGAUCUAGAAACUCAUUCUUCUAGUGCAGUGCUUUUCAACAUUUUUGCUGGAGUGGGUGGAUGAGUGUAUACUUAUAGACGCAUGUAUGUGGGUAUGCAGGUGCGCAUGUGUAGGUAUGGACAUGCACGCUUAUGCGAAUACUAUGUACAUUUUUACCCCCUUACUUUUACUCCCUCCCCUCACUUAGAGAUCAUUCCCCAAGGAAACAUUCCACUGGCUCGAGGAACCCCUGUCCAAUAAUUUAAUAGUCUUAUGCAUACAUAUCUGCACAGGAGAAUUAAAAAUUACUGCCGAUUUUAGCAGUUUUGUAACUUCUUGCGGAACCCCUGGACUGUACUAGUGGAACCCUAAGGUUCUGCGGAACCCUGGUUGAAAACCACUGUUCUAGUGUAUGAAUUUUAAAAUGCAUUUCUCUUUGAGAAAUAAAGCUUAUUUUAGGAAGAAUUUUCUCAUUAAUUACCUCAUAUUAAUUAGGAAAUACUAAAGUUCAAACAAAAGUGUUUCUGAAUACUUGUUUUUUUUUUUUACCUUAAACGGAUCAAGGAGUUUGAAAAGUAAUAUUUUUAACAUUGAUGAAAUAUAUCUCGUUUUUGGAUUUGGUUUGCAAGAUUCUUUAUAUGAGUUUGUGUGUUGAAGCAUAUUCUGUUGUGUCUGGGGAGAAUCAUUUUCUUUUUGAGCCUUAUAAUGUAACACAAUCACUGGUAAAUAAAAAUAAGAAAUAAGAGGAAAUUUUACCAAUGAGUGUGUUACAUUAUAAGGCACAAAAAGAAAAUGACUCUCCCCAGACACAACAGAAUGAUGAAGUUUUGGAGGAUUUGCAAAUUGGCAAGAAUGGAAAUGAACUUAUUGAAAUAAUCAUUUUAUGCCUAGAACUAUGGUGCUUAGGACUGCUGACAAAAAUGUACAAUAGUUUAGAACAGGCAGAGGCAAACAUGGCCUGCAGGACUUAAUGAAUGGCAUCCCUCAUGAAAAAUUACUUUGGAUUUCUUUUGUAGUGCUGUCAGCUUGAUGAUGAGUCAUGUCUCAUGUGGCCUGCUUCUCAAAAAAUGGUUGCCUAUCCUUGAUUUGGAAUAAUUUUACUAAUACACCAAUCUGUUAGCAUUGCCCUUCAGACUUAGUUUUAGAAAACAUCAAGUAAAGAAUAUUGAUAAAAUUUUCAUAAGACUUCAUUUAAUCAUCAGAAAAAUGAUUAUGUUGGAAAUGUCAUUAAAAGUUUAGGCUGUUGCUAUGUACAAUCUACAAUGAUUGAAAUGAAGAUGUUUUUGAGCUUUUACGUUUUUAAAGAAUGAAAACCAUAUUGAUUUUUAGUGUAAUCAUGUGAUCUCUAAGUAAAAAAGAAAAAAAAACCCAGAGAAGUGUAUAAGCAUUAAUUUCCUUUGUAGAAUACAUUUUAGUAAAGUGCCCAGAAAAACGGGCUUUUGGAAACAAACGUUGAAGCAUCUUUAUAUAAUUUCAAAUGUAUAAUUGAGGCUUUGUAUAUUUUACAAUUGUUAUUAUAAGCAGUGCAUAGAUUGUUUUACAUACAUACAUGCAUGCAUUUCGUUUACAAAAUUAACUGACCAUGACCCCCCCCCCUCCAUUUGUAAAGAGGUUUUGUGCCUCUGACCAUUUCUGUCAGAUGAGUUGCCUAUACAGCUGAGAACUUUACUGGUGUGAAACCAAUGGUCACUCUCUGACCAGCCAUGACCACCUCUAAAGUUUUUGGUCAGCCUGAAUCUAUAGUAGAAGACACUUGCCCAAGGUGCCAUGCAGAGGGACUGAACCUGAAACCACGUGGUUGGGAAGCAAGCUUCUUACUACACAGCCAUUCCUGCACCGAUAUAUAUUCCUUUAUUUCAAAUAAAAGCAGUUAUUUAUUCUUCAUAUGUCAUUCUGUGAGUCUUCCAUUUCUUGUUAAUGCCCUCUUUUCCUCUAUAAUCUUGAUUUCAUGUCAAAAAGAACUAACCAGGAAGAAAUGUAAUGGCAGCUGUGAUGUGAAAACAGUAAGUUUAUGGAAUAAUUACAUGACAAAAUGCCAUUACAUUAUCAUUUGGACAAUAUUUCUAAAUAGUAAGAGUGAUAUUGUAGAGAAAGAAACCAAUCACAAAAGGAGUUCAGUUCUUGAUAAUUUAUGUACAGAACAUUAUUUUACAUUACCUUAUAAAUUAUUUUAUGUGUCCUUAUAUUGGUGUAUGUAUGGCUAUGUUAAGAAGCUAGUGCAGGCCACCUUGGGCAACUGUCUUUGGUCAGCUCCUGGCUGGCCAAAGCUUUUAUGAGCAGAUAUAGCAGUCAUAAACUGAAAGAAGCCCUGUAUCUGUGCAUGUGUGUGUAUAACACUGUCUGCAUAUCAUGUCAUUAUCAUUUAAUGUCCAUUUUCUGUGCUGGCAUGAGUUAGAAAGCUUCAUAGAAGUGGGUAAGUCCAGAGGCCCCAACAGUUUCCAUUUUGGCUUAGUUUCUGCAACUGAGCACCCUUCCUAAUUCCAGCCACUUUACAGAGUGCUUUUUUACGUGGCUCCAGCACCAGUGCUUUUUUUUUUUUUAUGUGACUCCAAUACUUUUUAUGUGGCACCGAGCAUCACUGCCAUACAAUUGAUGUUGUUCACAUGCAGUCUUCAGUGGGAAACAGGUCUAGCUAAAUACUGCCUUGCUUGGAAACUGGUGAGCAUAGGUGACAGGAAGAGCAUCCAGCCACAGAAAUCUACUUCAACAAAUUCCAUCUGGAAAAAUGUUGUAGUGAAACGGUACACCCCAGGCCGGAUUAAGACCCACAGAGGCCCUAAGCUUUUAAAAGAUUUUCGUGCCCCCACAUAUACAUGAUUCAAAAUAUAAACAACAAUAAUAAUCCAGGAAGUAAAUUUGUAUUUUCCAUAAUGAAACAAAACUGAGAGUAAGAUGGAAAAUAAUGUUUAUUUUUGUAUCCUUCCGCUUUGUUUAUGCUUGAAAACUUUUCUCCUACUUUUUUUUUUAAUUGCAAAGUCUUUGAUCAGAUUCUCAAAAUUAAUUUUACAUAGUACAGUUGCUUCUAUACUUAGUAGACAUAAGGCAUCCAGCCUGCCUUGUUGAACAGUUAUUUUGAUGAGAUUUUUAAUAUACUUCAACUGAGAAAAUGAAUGCUCCAGCUGAGCAAUUUGUGACCAUUAAUGUUAAGAAUAUACAAAACACAAUGUCUACAUUUAGAAAGGUACACUCAAUAAUGUUUAUUUUAGUAAGAUUAAAGUGAUUUCUUUUGUACUAUAAACCAUUUACCAUUUCUGUGGUGCUCCACCCUUUCCCUUGAUGUCCCAAGCACAUGCUUAUUUUGCUUAAUGGUUAAUCCAGUGCUUGGUACACCCCUUCCCUCAUGGCAAAGUGGUAUGAUACAGCCACUAUGAAGUCAGACAGUCAGUCAUUGUAGAGAAGUCAGUCAGUAGUAGUAGUAGAGUCACUGUAUGAGUUUCUCAGUUGGAGUUAGUGUCAGUUACAUGGUAUAUACGAGUUCGAGUUACCAUUAAGAUAGACGUUUCGAAGUCAUUGUCUUGCAGAGCUAUCAGCAUGAUAGACGAGUCAAAGAUGUGAAAUACUGCCACAACAUAAUAGUGGUGACAAGAAUAUCACAGUGCCGACAACCACAUAAAUGUAGUCCAGUGAUUGUUAACCCUUUCGUUACUCUAUUUAUUUUGAGAUGUUCUGUGUUUCUUUCAAUUAUUUAAAAUAUAACAAAGAAUUUAGUAAAAUAACUUUGUUAUCAUUCAGCUGGUGUUUGGAACAUAAAUUGUGACUAAGGUUUGGUGGAAGAUAUUAAUUCAGAACUUAUGAAAACAAGACAUUUGUACUACAGAACCAGAAGCAGUUUCAGUCGGGUUGGUAUCAAAAGGGUUAAAUGCUAAAGUGUUAAUCUCUCAACCUGCACAAAGACACUACCUUUGGUGCUUCUCCAGCUGCCACAUACAAAGCACCAGUGCUAAUGCCACAUACAGAGCACCCAGUGCACUCUUUAACCAUUUUGUUACCAUAUUUCUGUUAAGAUACUCUGUUUCUUUCAAUUAUUUAAAAUAUAACAAAGAAUUUAGUAAAAUAACUUAGUUAUCAUUAAGCUAGUGUUAGGAACAUAAAUUGUGACUAAGGUUUGGUGGAAGAUUUUAAUUCAAAACUUAUGAAAACAAGACAUUUGUACUAUAGAGCCAGAGGUAGUUUCAGACAGGUUGGUAUCGAAAGGGUUAAAUUAAUCAUAUGUUAGCCCUUUUGUUGUCAUAUUUCCUUUGAGAUGCUCUGUGUUUCUUUCAAUUAAUUUUAAAUAUAACAAAUAAUUUAGUUAAAUAACUUGGUAUCAAUGACUAAAGCAAGCAAAAAAUAAAAGAUAAUAAUGACUUCUAAUUCAAAGCCAAGAGUUUGCAGUGGAGAAAUAUAAUCUUUUGAAUUAAGUUUUAAAUAUGAUCCUGGGUUCGUUCCCACUGCAUAGCACCUUGGGUAAGUGUCUUCUACUAUAGCCUUGGGCCGACCAAAGCCUUGUGAGUGGAUUUGGUAGACAGAAACUGAAAGAAGCCCAUCAUGUGUGUGUGUGUAUAUAUAUAUAUAUAUGUGUGUGUGUGUGUGUGUGUUUGUGUGUUUGCUUUUGUUGCCCCACCAUCACUUGACAACCAAUGUUAAUGUGUUUAUGUCCCUGUAACUUAGCAGUUCAGCAAAAGAUACCGAUAGAAUAAGCACUAGGCUUACAAAGAAUAAGUCCUGGGGUCGAUUUGUUCAUCUAAAGGCGGUGCUCCAGCAUGGCCACAGUCAAAUGACUGAAACUAAUAAAAGAAUAAAGAAUAUUUACUGCAUAUUUGUCUGUUCUUGAAGGAUUUCUGGAGAUACAAAACUAAACACUGCUAUUCAUUUAGUCCAUCACUCUGUCAAUACAGUAGUCCCUCGACUUUUGUGGGUGUUACGUUCCAAAACCCCCUGCAACAGGUGAAAAUCCACAAAGUAGAAACAGUACUGUACUGUAUAUUUUUAAAAAUUAUCUUUAUAAUUUGUAUAUACUUUAUUUUGUUUUUGGAUUUGGUUUGCAAAAUUCUUUAUGUAAGUUCAUGUUUUGAAGCAUAUUCUGUUGUGUCUGGAGAGAGUCAUUCUCUUUUACUGGCUUAUAAUUUAGCACACUCACCGGUACAAUUUCCAGUCAUUUACUUAUUUAUUUUCCUAAAAUUUUCAUUGCAUCUUGCAAGCUUUUCAAUAGUUGUUGACUGUAUCCGUUAUUCAAGCUGCACACAAACAAACAAAAAAAAAAAAAGCAGCUUGAAUAACAAACAGAGUCAAAAACCAUGGAAAAGGUUGCAGGAUGCAAUGAAAAUUUUACCUAAGGCACCAAGUCAGUACUGGGGGUGGAUGCUCUGAAAGUGUAGCUGCUAGAAUAAGAAUAGCUUGGGCAAAGUUCAGAAAGCUCCUACCUCUGCUGGUGACAAAGGGCUUCUCACUUUAAGUAGAAAAUAGACCGUUAUGAUGCAUGUGUACGAACAGCUUUGCUACAUGGCAGUAAAACAUGGGCAGUGACUACUGAGGACAUGCGUAAGCAUGCAAGCAAUGAAGCCAGUAUACUCAGCUGGAUGUGUAAUGUCAGUGUGCAUACACGACAGAGUUUAAGUGCCCUGAGAGAAAAAUUGGAUUUAAGAAGCAUCAGAUGUAGUGUGCAAGAGAGACGACUGCACUGGUAUGGUCAUGUGUUGCAAUUGAAUGAGGACAGCUGUGUGAAAAACUGUCACACCCUAGUAGCUGAGAGAACCUGUGGAAGAGGUAGACCCAGGAAGACCUGGGAUUAGGUGGUGAAGCACAACCUUUGAACAUUGGGCCUUACCAAGGAAAUGGCUAGUGACUGAGACCUUUGGAGAUAUGCUGUGCUUGAGACUACCCAGCAAGCCAAGUGAGACCAUGACCCAUGGCCUAUGCCAGUGGGUGUAACCAGCCCACUUAUGAGUACUCUUCAUUCAUUGAACUUUGCUUGUGAAGACCUAUUGCGGCAAAUGAAAACAAAUCAAAAUCGCUGAUGUGGAUGACAGUGCUGCCUGAUUGACAUUUGUGCCAGUGGAACGUUAAAAGCACAUCUGAGUGUGAUCGUUGCCAGGGCCAUGGAUUGGCUCCCGUGCCGGUAGCAUGUGAAAAGCACCAUUUGAGUGUGAUCAUUGCCUUACCAGCACGUGUGCCGGUGGCACAUGAAAAACAUUCAAGUGUGGUCAUUGCCAGUGCUGCCAGACUGGCUCCCAUGCAGGUAGCACCUUAAAAACACCUUUUGAGUGUGUUCAUUGCCAGAACCGCCUGGCUGGCUCCUGUGCCGGUGGCACGUCAAAGCACCCACUACACUCUUGGAGUGGUUGGCAUUAGGAAGGGCAUCCAGCUGUAGAAACUUUGCCAGAUCAAAUUGAGCCUCUGGCUCACCAGUCCUCAGUCAAACUGCCCAACCCAUGACAGCAUGAAAAGCGGACAUUAAACAAUGAUGAUGAAAUAAGUAAAUGAGUGGAUAUUUUACUAGUGAUUGUAUAUACUUAUUUUAUUAUAAAUGCAAAACAAUGCCACAGAUGAAUCAACGUAAGCUUAAAUAAUAAACUGUGAUAGCUGAACUGUGAUAUGGUAAGGGAUAUAUGAUGGUACCAGAUUUGUUUUUAGUUAUUCAUAUUGAUACAAAUAAACAACAUAUUUGUUGUUGAUUAAGUCCAGACCAGCCCUGCUCAAACAGAUUAAUAAUCAAUGAUAUCACAAGUAUGCUGAUCAUGGGAUUAUUUGAGAGAAAUUUGACUAUUGUUUCUAGAGGCCAAGCAACCACAGAGAGGCAUCAUUAUUAGUUCUGUCUUAAAGACUGUUGUGUUAGCUUAUCUGAAAUAGCAGUUUCUGAUAUUUUCCGUUUUUAGUACCAUUGCUCAUGUAAAUCAUUAUUGUCCUAACAUUUAGUUCUAUCUGUUCUAGAAUCUAUACUUUCUUUUGAUUUUUGAUUAUUAAAAUGGAAAUUACUCUGGAAAGAAGCAAUGAUUAAGAGGAAUGAUAAAAAGGAAAAAGAAAAAAAAUAAUCUCUCUGUGUUUCGAGUAAUCUCCUAAAUCAGAAUCUUUAGGUUCCAAUUAUUGUCACCUGUAAAAUUCUGUACCAAGAAUAUCAUCAAUUUAGCUUUUUGCUGGUUCUAAAUGAAACCUAUUCUGCUUGUACAGAAUAGAAAUUGCUAGUGCUAAGAAAUUAUUUAACAAUCCACAUAUAAAAUGUAUUCAGACGUUAUAGCAUACACAGAAUUAUCUAUUGGUUUAUGUAAAAUAAUUUUCGUUUUAUUGCUGAACAUGUAUAAGCCUUGAGGAGAUUCUUAAUAUCUUUAGAAUGUUCAAUAUAAAUGUUUGAUCAAUAAGUGCGGAAACGCUAAAAGGAUUAAGUUUCUUUACUUUGAGAUUUGAAGUGCUUGAGAAAUUUGGAAUAGAAUGUCGUUGUUUUCUUUUCUUCAAAUUAUUUAUGCUGCUUGUCAGAAUCUAUGAUGAAAAUAAUUCUAUAGAGAGUAGUGUUGCAUUAACUCUACACCUAUGUAGUUUAAUUUAGUAUUCCUUUGUAAUAGUCCUCUGAAAUUUGAACAAAGGAUGGCAAGUGUUAUCAAUUACGGUAUCAAAGAAUCGUAACAUAGUAAGAAUAUUACAAAGCGGGAUAUAAAUAUAGAGCAGCAUAUAAAAGAUGUCGAAAAUGAACAAUAGAAUAUCUAUAAUAAUCAGUUGAUUAUAUCAGUGUUUAAAGAAGAAACAAAAUGUAAUAAAUUCACGGGAUAAUCCAAGUUUACUGAUAAUACUCAACAAGGCUUCUAAGUUGAUGAGAUUUUAAUUUGAUCCUUCUUCUUUUACACAAAGGAAAUAACCGAGUAUCUAAAUUCAUUUCUUAAAGUGUAUAGUUUCAUGUUAAAAUGGCACUGCUACAAGGAAUUGCUGUUAAACGUUAUAAAUUGUGGUAUUUGGUAAUGAAAUAAGAACCCGGUUCAGUGUAUGCAAAUUUAUGGAUAGUGUUGAGUCAUAUUUAGUUUUAUUUUGUAAAGUUAAGCUUUUUCUAUUAAUUGCCAUGAAGUUGUACUGGUGUUUAUUACUUAAUUAGCAAGGCACGAGAUGUCAUGCAAUGGCCGUGAUCAAAUUAAAAAUCAAUAGAUAUCUGAUUUGCAUGUUUAUCACUGACUCAAUAUAAGUGGCAUCCUUAAAAUAUUGUUUCUCUAUAAUUUCUAUUACUGUACACCAUACACACACACACACGUAUAUUCUUUUCUACUCUAGGCACAAGGCCCGAAAUUUUGGGGGAAGGGGCCAGUUGAUUAGAUCGACUCCAGUAUGCAACUGAUAUUUAAUUUAUCAACUCUGAAAGGAUGAAAGGCAUAGUUGACCUUGGUGGAAUUUGAACUCGGAAUGUAAAGCCAGACGAAAAACCUAUUUCUUUACUACCCACAAGGGGCUAAAAACACAGAGAGGACAGACAAAUGGAUUAAGUCGAUUAUAUCGACCCCAGUGCAUAACUGGUACUUAUUUAAUCGACCCCAAAAGGAUGAAAGUCAAAGUUGACCUCAGUGGAAUUUGAACUCGAAACGUAGCGGCAGACGAAAUACCACUAAGCAUUUCACCUGGCAUGCUAAUGUUUCUGCCAGCUCACCACCUUCACAUACACAUAUAUUACAACAGGACAUAAUAUUAACUCAUCUUUCUAAUCUUUUUAAAUAUCAAUCCUAGCUAUUUAUGUUACUUAAGGUACAUACACAUCCUUAUAUUUAUUAUCUAAUCCUCAGCUGCAGAGUUCCAAGCUGCACUGCAAACCUUUCCCUAUUGAUUUGUCAUCUCAUAAACAGUAAUGCCCUUUACUAACUGACAUUAUGUUUCAGAAUAGAUAUAUUAUAUUUCUGAUUACAGAAACCUAGCUAGAAUAGUGCAAACUACACAUGCUUUAGAGUGAGAGGGCUAAAUAACAGCCACUUACAAGGAAAUCUUUACAUACAUUCAAAAUUCACUUUUGAGAAUAAUAAAAUGUUGAUUGAUUUGAAAAAAUUUUUAAUAGGAUUCUGUUCUGAGAUUGAAGCACAAAUGAAAAUCCUCUUAAUUCUAAUUGGUUAUCAACUAUUUGAGAAGGAGUUCUCGUAUGAAAAAGUGCCUGUUUCUAAGGGAAGACAAUAAUGUUAUCUGACAUGUAGCAUAAAAUAAUCAGCAGCCAAUAUCUCCUUCUUUUGAGAUAUAAUAUAGAAGGAAAUAGUAAUCAACUAAUAAAACAUUGAAAAAUAUAAUCAAUAUUUUAAUACAAUCAGCACCAACAAUCCAUAUAAAAUUAAAUCAAUAUUAAAAUAAUCAAUGCUUUAAAUGAAUAUAAAAUACAAUAAUUAUUGAAGCCAAUACAAACUUGCAUUCAAUACAGGAAGCCACUGUGAUAUCAAUAUAAAAAUAUUAUACAAGUAUCUUCAAUAGCAAAAAUUGAUAAUUCAUUAUUAGCAAUACCAAAAAUCAAUAAAAAAAACUUUGUUGACACAGGAAUUUAAUUUCAUGUCAUGAAGUUGAGAGCGUUGUCAUGUAAGAUGGUUAUUUUAAUGUCAGGUAUCUUUUACAUAAGAGUUGAAAAAACAGAUGCAAGGAAAUACAAGGAAAGUGGUUGAACUGUUAAAACAAUAGCUAAGUUAGUGUUGACUUAUUUAAGAUAGCAAACGUUAAAAAUCUAACUAAAAAUGAUGAUGCAGGAUGUAAAAAAUGCUAGUAUUAAUUAAUGAUUAAUAUUAUUUUCAGUUUUUUUUGGUAACAAGAGAAAACUCUGGAUAUGCAUUGCUUCUUUGGAAUGGCACCAUGAUAAUAAAAUUCAGAAUGAAUUAAUAGAGAUCAGAAGACAUGUUCUCAAAGACUUUCAAUGAUGGACUUUUAUAUUUAUGAAUAUGAAUUUAAAUUAUGCUUGAAAGCAUUAAGUAGAAAUUAAAGUAUCACUUAUUAAAAAUUUAUUGUUCAUUUUGAGAUUAAUGACAGCUUGUCAGAAUUGAAAUAUUUACAAAGUAUUCUGUAAAGUAGAUUUUCUUUUCUUAUUUAGAUUUGCAAUUCUUGGUUAUAAUUUUGUUUGAAAACAGAAGACCAGUAACUCAAUACAGUUUUUAAUUUUUUUUUCAUCAUGGCAUGAAGUUCUUUCGGUGUAGUAGAACAGAAAUUGCUAAAUAUUCUUGGCCAAUUAUGAUAAUAGUUUAGCUGUAGAGUACUGUGUAGAAUGUUGCAUCUGGAAAGUUAACAACAGUUCUGAAUCCACAUGUUGCAAUAAUUAACAUAACUUUUUCAUUUCUCUGAAGAGGACAAAAUAAACUCAUUGGUAUGUGCUGAGUUAGUCUCUAGAUUCAUAGUAUCUGCUAACUAACUGCUUCUGCAAAUACUUUGGCGUUAGAUGAUUCUUUGAAUCACUUAAAUAAUUAAGAUAGGUGUCUAAGAUUUCAGCACUCAAGAAUUUUCAAUAAAUUUUAUGUAUAUUUGCAUCAAAGAGAAGCAUUGUCUUCAACAAUUAAGUGUACUAUAGCAAUUAGAUGCAUUAAUUUUAUGUUUGUGGAUAGUGAUUUCUUUGAGUUUCAUUUACACAUUCUUUCAGAUUCUGCUAUUCUCUUCAGCCCUCUCAUUGUCAUUAAUGGCUUUCCAUGUGUCAGUUCUAAUCCAAUUCAUCAUUUGUUAAUGAUUCAACCAUCCAAUUAUUCACUUCUCCUUUUUUUUCUCUCUUAUUCUUUCUUUUUUUUUUUUUGGUUUGCAUCAGCUUAUCUAGAAAAUGUUUAAUAAUUAUUAAAUACAAAAAAUUACUUAACAUUUUAAAACUGAUUACAUCAACUUACUCUAACUAAGUUAAAUAUCUUCUUCACAUAAUAACAUUAAGAUUAAUCACUUUAUCAAAGCUGAGGAUCAGCAGGGGCUUGAUUAGACAGAUACCGUACUACAUUAUGGUCAUAAAAUAUUUGAUUAUGUGAGAAUUUACUAAAGGAAUGGCAACUUCAGAACACUGUUCGUACUUUUAAUGUAAAUAAUUAAAGAUUUUAAAAUUCUCUUUCUAAUUAUUGUCACAAUGUGUUGGUACACUAGUAAAAAAAAUUUCAUUGUUAUAAUAAUCAUAAAAAUUUUUCUCAACAAAUUCACUUAAAGGGAAAUUUGUCUAAAUUUGAUACACAACAUAUACCGAAACAGCAUAAACAUUACAGAUAUAUUAAUCUUUAUUGAAUAUUCUCCAUUUUUAUAGUAUUAAAGGAAUGACAUUUAAGUUUAAAAUAAAUUUUAAUGCUAAAUCUACUCAUUUAGAUCCUACUUUGAGAUAUCAUUCUCCAAAAAUAUAAGACUUUUGAAGAAUUGAUAAGGUUAGGAAAUAUUUCCUGAAAAUAAUCUCUAAACAGAUAUGUUUUUGUUUUCAGUUCCUCAUUUCUCCAACUCCAUCGCUCCCCUUUAAAUUCUCCUCAUGAGAAAUUAUUAAUAUUUUCAAAGAGUGGUUUUAUACUGAGUUAGUAAACUCCAAAAUUAAAUAGCGAAAAUAACAAACAACAUAAUGAUAUGCCUUGAAAAUUAAAUAUUGCUAAAAAUAAUUGGAGGACAUGUAAAUUUAAUCAAUUUUCUCAGAAUUAUAAUGAAUAGAUGAUACUCAAUCUUUUAUAAAGUCAAAUAUAAAAUAAAAAAAAAAACAAGACAAGUUAUUGCAGAUAUAUUGAUCUAGAGAUUUUAAAUUAUGCAGCAAAUUCAGUAGAAAAUAGCAGCAUUAAUGUUUGUUACAUCAUCAUCACCAUCGUCAUCGUUCUUAUCAGCAUCACCAUCGCCAAUAGGAAAGAAGAGUGUUGUGCAAACAAUGACGUUAAUCAUUUUAAAUCAAAUUCAAACACAAAGUCACUAAUCUGAAGAUAUACCAGCAAAAUAGAAUAAACUCAAAAUUUUUUUUCAGUAAUCCAGUUUCAAUAAAGAUUGGAUAAUAAUUGUUUGCAAUAAUGAAUUCAAAAAAUUUGGAAUAAUCUAGGGGAGAUCUUUAAUCAGACAUGAUGAUGGACUUUCCCUUUUUUUAAAAAAAAACAACUUUUAUUGUGGAGAUAAAGCAUUACACAUGACCUCUAGCAUUGGUAGGGGUGGAUGAAGGUUUCCUCAAACUCGAUACCCAACCCAAAAGCAUUCUAGGUUCUACUGAAGGCAUUCUAGGUUCCAGGUGGUAGGGUUAAACCUAGCAAUGGAUUAAGUCUACCCUGCUUCCCAUUGUAGGCCACAGUAGGAUCUGAACCCAGAAUGCAGAGAGUUAGAACAAUUGCUGCAUUGUACCUACCAUGCAGGACCAUCUUAGCAGCAUUAUCAACCCCUGGCAAAUCAAUGCACUGGAUCCUACAUCAUCAUCCUUUAACAUCCGUUUUCCAUGCUGGCAUGGGUUUGAUGGUUUGACCACUGCACCAGGUUCCAGUUUGAUUUGGUUUCUACAGCUGGAUGCCCUUCCUAACAUCAACCACUUUACAGAGUAUGUUGGGUGCUUUCAUGUGGCCCUGCAUGGGCACUUUUACAUGGUGCCACACAGGUGCAUUUACAUGGCACCACUACACCAGGCGCUUUUUUGUGGAACCACAUGGGCACUUUUACGUGACACCACCAAAAGGACCUGUCUUAACACUUCUUCUGCAGAGUACGAGUCUUCUUAAGUACAGCAAGAUGCCAGGCAUCUUAGUUCUUUGUCAUCUUGCCUGAAAGCUUCAGCAUCCUGAGGUUGUUCUUUAGUACUUCAUCCCAUGUUUCCCACUUCCAGCAAGCCACUACAUGCAUAGACCAUAGUUAGGCCCCAGACAAGAGCCCAGUAUUUCCAUGCAUUAAGAUGGCACUGCUUAUCUAAUAUUCUUACAAUUCUACUAAUCCACCACCCCAAAUGAGUAAAAGGUAAAGUUGACCUUGGUGAGACUUGAACUCUGACUGCUAAGUUGAAGCGGACACUAUGAACUCCUCUGUCUGAUAUUCUUAUAACUCUGCCAAUUUUUCACCUUACCAUGUAUUCUGUUAGUUAAAAACUUUUGCUCAGCAUUUCCCAUUAUUGUCUUUUAAAGUCAAUAAGUGUCAAGGGCUACUAUUCCUCACAGUGGUUACUGAGAUUUGUACCUUCAUCUGCCUUUAAAGCAUAACCAGCUCCAGGAAGAUUUGUCUGAGAUUUUUGACUGGAAUUUCAUUACUUGGAGAAACCUGCCAGGCACCAGUGUCACUUCACUCAAUCAGUGAAAGGGCAUGAUUUAGUGAUCAGAACAUUCGGUCGAAAAUUUGAUUCCCGGUAGCACAUUGUGUCCCUUUAGCAAGAUACUUUAUUUCAUGUCAUUUCAGUCCACUCAAGCAAAAAAUGGGUUGUACCUGUAUUUCAAAGCUGCCGGCCUAGUCACAUUCCAAGUUGUACUGAAUCUCCCUAAGAACUAUGUUAAGGGUAUGCAUGUCUGUGGAGUGCUCAACCACUUGCAUGUUAAUUUCAUGAGCAGGCUGUUCCACUGAUCGGAUCAGCUGGAGCCUUCAGUGUUGUAACUGGCAGACGGCUGGUUGAUUGAAUCAAUCCCAGCAUUUAACUGGCACUUUAUUUAAUUGCCCUUUUCUCACACUAUAUAUACACACACACAUAUAUGUAUAUUUAUAUAUAUAUAUAUAUAUAAAGGGGUUUGUAUGAUUGUGUAUAGAGGGAUAUAUAUUAUUCAAAGAAAUUUCAACUCUGUCUAUUUUUCAUGUUUCAUUUAUAUUCUUUAUAAUAUUAAGGUAGAUAAUAGAAUAUAUAGUAAAAUGAAAUGAAGUAUUGAUUGUCUUAUUGAAUAGAUGAAAUAUUGAAUAUCAAAUAUUAAGGGACUAGUAUACUUUCUUGCAUUAAAGCAGUCUUCAAGGUCCCAGGUUGUGACAGGAGUAUAAUGUGUAUAUAUAUAUAUAUAUAUAUAUAUAUAUAUAGGCAAGGAAAAAUUAUAAAAAGGCAGAAUGCUAAAUUGAAGAGCAUUCUGCCUUUUUAUAAUUUUUCCUUGCCUAUCAUUUCUCCACAUGCGGUCAACCCAACCCAACCAUUUAUUGAUUUAUAUAUAUACAUAUAUAUAUACAGGGUGGCCCAAAAGUAGGUUUACAGUCAGUUAUUUAACUAUCUCUUUCGCAUUCAUAUAUCAACAGUUUAGAACUGUUUUUUUACUAAGAUGGAGCACCUUCACAUUAUGCAUUGACAGUAAGAGCCUACCUUAACCAAGCUUUUCCACAGCAUUAGUUUGGGAGAUGGGCCACCAUGUUCACUUGACUUGACACCAAUGGAUUUUCUUAUUUUGGGGUGUCAUGAAGAACAAGGUUUAUAAGAAGAAUCUCAAAACAGUAAAUGAAUUAAAAGAUUACAUUUCUGAUGCAUUCAAUGAAAUUGAUGGAGAUAGGAAGUUGUGCCGCACUGUGUGUCAGAGUGUUCUCAAGAGGUUUGAAGAAUGUUGCAAUGUUGAAGGAGGACAUUUUGAGCAUCUGAGAGAUUAAACAUUGUCUGUUUAAGAUGUUUAUAAACAAUAUGAUUGUAAGAUAGAAGUUUAAAUGUAAUAAAAAGUUUUGAAAAGAAUUUAAAGUGCCUACGUGAUAACUAUAAAUCUACUUUUCGACCACCCUGCAUAUAUCUAUUAUAUAAAAUCCAUUCUGCCUGUCUGGGUUUUGUGUCUUCUAGGAUCUCUGGCAUCCUCCAUCCGAUUGCGCUCAAAUUUGAUAUGUAGAUACCAACGGUAUCAGGGUGUGUAUAAGUCUUGAAAAAAUUACAAAAAUCAAUACCAGGUGAGAAUGCGAUCGAUAAAGUCAUGGGAACGUGCAUUUGUAAAAUUGUUUUUCUUCGACUAGAAAAAAAAAAGUCUAUCUUUAUUCUUUCUUUUGCUGGUGUCUCAAAUUUAGGUUAAAUCAAUGUUUCUGAAAGAGGAGGCCUAUGGGAUGGUCGGACAAGUUGUUUUGAGAAAAUUUGGUUUAAAUGUUUGACAACUCAGCACCGUCCAUUGGACGAGGGGGGGGGGGCGUUUUGCUCAUAUAUAUAUAUAUAUAUACAUACAUAACUAGCUAUAAUAGAAACAUAAUAUCAAUCUGUAUCUUUUUGUUCAAUGUCAUUGAAAUUUUAGAUUUAUAUUGAGUGACUUUAAGCAAUCGUUAAAUUUGUUUUGAUUGAAUUUGUGUGUGUGUGUGUAUGUUUAUAGCAGGGUUGAAGUUCAUAUUUAUGUGUUGGAUUCAACUUUGGUUGCAAAAAAGAAAAGCAAACAAACCAAAAAAAAAAAAAAAACCCCAAAACAUUGUGUUGUGUGAAAAACUAUAACUUAAUGAUUCAACAAAUAGAUAUUGAUAAAAAUAGGUACAAGACUGAAAUAAGUAUCAGGAUCAAUGGGAUCAAUCAUAAAGGUGGUGCUCCAGCCUGGCCAUUGUUCAAUGACUAAAAUCAAGAGAAAGAAAGAAAAAGAAAUCCAUACACUUAUUUGUAUGAGUAUUUCUAUGUUGCUGUUUAGCCUCAGUUCACCACUGAUCGAAGUUGUUCCAACCACGACCAUCCUCCCUUUUUUCAGACAUAUCUUAUCUAGGACCACAUUAUCUGAUCAUUCCAUUUUUAAAAUGAUAGGCUGUAAUUUUCAGAAGAUUUACUUGCUAUUUCUUGCAGUUUGAGCUACUGCAUGAAAGCUCUCUCUCUCACUGGCUUGUUUGGUUUAAGCAUGAGUUUAUGCAACUAACAUAAAGAAAAUUAUAUUAAACUUUUGAUAUUUGCCUAAUAGGUUUCAAUAAAAAUGUUUUGUGAGUUUCAGUAAAGCUAGUCUCCAAAUAAAUACCAUUAAAAACUUCUAAUUGGUUCUAUUUUACUCUCUGAAACAGUAUCAAUGGCUACCUAAUUUCCUACUUUCAUUCCAGUCCAUUAGUGUUUCAUAAAAUUUGUCUCUUUUUCAUUAUUAUUUCUUUUUCUAUAACAUAAACAGGCUGCCGUAGUCUUUUGUGUUUAAUGCUUAGUUAUUUGAAGAUAGAUGAGACUGCCGAGCACUGCCACAAAGGAAAAAAGGUCAUACAAUUUAAACUUUCAAAAUAAAAUCUUUAAACACAGAAUAGAGAUCCUCUUCUUAAUACAACGGUUUCCCUAUACUGUUUUAACAGUAUGCUUUAUAAACACUAAUAUGAACAGGAAACUAAAUCUAAAAAUUUUGGCUUACUAUCAGAUCUCUAAUAAUUGCAUUAACUACAAUGUAUGUUGUUACUAUCAGAGUGGGUGUUAGUUUACUUAAGCAUGUUUAAAAACUCAUUUAACUUUCAUUAUUUGCGUCGAGAAAAAUUCUGCAUAAAAGAAAUUUUAUAUGGUUUUAUAUGCCUAAAUUAAAACAAAAUAUCAGAAAACUAAUCUUUGAAAAUAUUAGGUUUUUGUUUUUUUUUUGUUUUUCGUUUAACCAUUAACCAAUAUCAAAUGAUUUCAGAAUUUUUAAAAUAAUAGAAGCUGAUCAGUUUUAAGUAGGGACACAUUUUUCAAAAAAUUUAAUGUUCUAAGAGUGCAUGAUUUUUAAAUUUGAACAGGAAUAGUAUUCUUAUGUAGAGAAACAAACUCUGGGUCGUAGAUAUUUUCGAAUGCAAAUUAAUCAUGGGCCAAUUUCUGUAGAUCCAUGACAUUCUAGAUUUGGAUAUACUGAGAUAAUUUCCUGAUUUCGUUUAUGGGUGGGUGAGUGGAGUGUAUAGGGAGGUGGUAGCUGUAUUGGGAGAUUUAGUAUCAACAUUGUUAACUAAUGAAACAACGCUUCCAGCUCUGAGCUGUAUUAUUACAUGAAAGUAAAAAGAUCGAGUCAAUAAGUUAAGUGUUUUUAUUCAAGACGGUAGGUCAUCCUCCUGACAAAUCAAUCAGCUGUGAUUCCAAACUUUAAUACAUUAAAGAAUGGUAAAGCCAAAAUUAUUGUCACAGUCCCCUAAUUAAAUCAGCCGACAAUCACUUCCCACAUUCUCUACAGAAAAAUCAUCAAAGUGGAUGCUUGUUAUUUUAUUUUGAGACGAAGGGACAUAAAAAUAGCAUCUCUUAUGUAAAGCUAUUAUUCUAGUCUAGAAAAUGAUUUUUGCUUCCUAGUUAUUUCCCUGUUUCAUUUCCUAAACUACUGAUGUUGGAAUGUGCUAUCAGUAGCAAUUUCCAUUGGAAAUGUCAUCUACUCAGUAUGGUUAAGACUUAAGAACCAUCCCAAAACAACUUUGAUCUAAAUAAUUAUUGACAAAUGUUCACUUCUGUAAAGAGUACUUUACUGACACUGGGAGCAAUCUGUUUCUUUCUCUUAUUAAUAACAUUUAGAAGAAGAACAUUCGACUGAAUGGUAAACAUUUCCACAUAAUUUUUUUUGGCUAACUAACUUUUCUCUUCAACUGCUGCUUUUUUUUUACUGAAUAUGUUGACUGCACCCACCUCACCACAUUUCAGAUAUUUUCUUUUGACCCAGCUCUUAGGACUUAUAUAUAUACAUACACAAAUGUAUACGUAUAUGUAUGUAUGGAUAUACAUACACACACAUGUAUAUAUAUAUAUAUAUACACACACAUAUACAUGUGUAUGUUUGUGUGUAUGUAUGUAUAUAUAUAUAUAUAUAUAUAUACACACACACACGUGUAUGUUUGUGUAUAUGUAUGCAUCUUUUAUCUUUUACUUGUUUAAGUCAUUAGAUUGUGGUCAUGCUGGGGCACUAUCUUGAAGAAUUUUUAGUUGAAUGAAUUGACCCUUAUACUUUUUUUUAAAAAAAUCUUGUACUUAUUAUUUUGGGCUCUUUUGCUGAACUGCUAAGUUAUGGGGAUAUAAACACACCAACGCCAAUUGUCAAGUGGUGGUGGUGGUGGGAGGGGGGGGGGCACGGACUUCAACACACAUGACAAGCUUCUUUCGGUUUCCCUCUACUAAAUCCACUCACAGGGCUUUAGUCAGCCCCUAGAAGACACUCGCCCAAGGUGCUUUGCAGUGGGACUGAACCUGAAACCAUAUGGUUGGGAAGCAAGCUUCUUACCACACAGCCACGUUCGAGCCAUAAUUAUUAAUUGGCAUGUCCCAGCUACUUUUGAAGUUCCUAGUAACAAAAAAACAUUCUUAAGUUCCUUUUUUUUUUUCUCCCUUCAAUAAAACCAUCCAAAAUUCUAUGCUAAAUCCUGCUUCUCUUCCGUCUUUUCACUUUGAAUUUCCUAGAUAUUACAAGAUCUUCCAAACUGAUGUCUUUUCCAGAGAUCUUAACUGAAAGUAGAUUGUGGUUUCAUUUUUUUCCUAUUAAGUCUUUCUAACUUCAUCUAAUACAACACACUUUUACUCAUUACCCUUGUAGUCCAAGGUAUUCUUUUCCCACUCCCCAAUUAUUAUGCUCUAGUGGCCCAACAGUGAUUUUCUGUUUGUUUUCCAAUUAUUCAUGUUCCACAUGCUACACCUGCGUUAGUGUCAAAGACAAGGAACCAAACUUUGGAAUAUUAAUUUGAAUUUACCUUAUUUGCUUUUAUUUUGGUCCUCAUAGCCAUCUAAUGUUCAAAAACCUUAUAUAUUUAUAUGUAGAUAUUAUUAGGAAUUGUAUAAAAAAACUGUUAAAACAUUUUGUUUAUUGUAAAAGUGUUGCAGAUAAAUUUUGAUAGCAAAAUCUUCUGUGGACCCCCAAAAGUCAUAUGGACCCUGGUUGUCGAUGAACAGCAAAGUUAACACUGGCAUGUUUGAAACUCAGGCUAUUAAUAAAUAUCACAGAUAUUUUACGGAGGGGGAGCACUAAGCAGUGAUAAGUGAAAUGGCAAUGUUAUUCACCAGCCUGAAUAUGCUGGAUUCAUGUUCGAAUUGGGGAACAAGCCAUUCACUGCAUUUUGUCACAGAGAAUAUAUCUCACUUGUUGACAAAUGGUGUGUAUGCACCGAGAUCAGCUCACAGCACCACCUACCUAGACUGUGAGAUGCUUGCAUUUCAGAGUAGUUAUCUCCUCAUCGUUCACAGAUACUAAGCAGAUGACACUAUGAGCUGAAUUAAGAGAUUACCUCUCUUGUGCUUUUCCAGUCACCAUGCAGUGACUGGCAGCACCAUACGACGGCUCGCAAUAAGUAAAUUAUGGAGGGGGAGCACUAAGCAAUGAUAAGUGAAAUUGCAAUGUUAUUAGCCCUCCGAAUAUGCUUGAUGCAUGUUCGAAUUGGGCAACAGGCUACACACUGUGUUUUGUCAUGGAGAACCAGCCUCGCCUUACUGGCACUUGAGCCUCAUGCUAGUAGGGUGCCAAGAACACCAUCCAAGCAUGAUCGUUGCCAAAGCGGCUGACUGGCUUCCGUGCCGGUGGCACGUAAAAGGGCACCAUUUGAGCGUGAUCGUUACCAGCAUCGCCUUACUGGCACCUGUGCCGGUGGCAUGUGUAAAAAGAUUCGAGUGAGGUUGUUACCAGUACCACCUGACUGGCCCCUGUGCUGGUGGCACGAAAAACACCCACUACACUCUCGGAGUGGUUGGCAUUAGGAAGGGCAUCCAGCUGUAGAAACUCUGCCAGAUCAAGACUGGAGCCUGGUGCAGCCAUCCGGUUUGCCAGCCCUCAGUUAAAUCAUCCAACCCAUCCUAGCAUGGAAAGCGGAUGUUAAACGAUGAUGAUGAUGAUGAUAUCUCACUUUUGAUAAAUUUGAAAAUGCACCAAGCAUAUUCAGACUGAUAAUAGCAUUGCAAUCACAGAUAUUUUGUCUUGUGUCUUACUAAUUCUUCCAAUCCUUUGUCUUUCAAUGUGAUUUUAUCAUCUCCUGAUUUUUAAUUCUCCAGACCAACCCCUCUCUAAUACCAUUCAAUUUCGGUUUGUUUUGUAUUGUUAUAUCAUUCUAUUGCUUCAUAGCUAUUGCUAUGAUCUUAGUGUUUAGAAAUAAACAUACAUUCUCAUUCUAUAUACUUGGAUAUUCAAUAGGGAUUGUAAGACUUUACUUUAUUCUUCUACUGUGGGAAUGAUAUACAGCAAUCACUCGACUAUCCCAGGUGUUACGUUCCAAAAUGCCCCGGGGUGGGUGAAAAUGCACGAAGUAGAAACAGUGCUGUGUAUAUUUUAUUUUAUUAUUUUUAUAAUUUGUACAUAUUUAUUUUAUCAUAAAUGCAAAACAAUACCACAGAGGAAUCGACAUAAGCUUAACCCUUUAGUAUUUGAACCGGCCACAUCUGGCCAAAAUAUUUAAUCUGUUUUAUGUUCAAACUAACCAGAUCCAGGCUCUCACACCUACCCUACAAUGUUAUUCUACAUUAAGUAAUUACACCAUCAAGAUCUUGAAGAUAUGGGAUAAUGCAUGAUUAAUUCAAAUCAAUGUGAAUCAAUAAGCAUUAUGUUUGAUAGAAUAAUCUGAACACUAAAGGGUUAUAUAAUAAACCACAAUAGGUGAACUGUGAUAUGGCAAGAGAUUACUGUAAUCUGUACAAUAUGGGAUGUUGAUGCCAUUGCCACCAGAAGAUAUAUUGCCCCAGCAAAACCUUCAAUUACACUCAAAAAGUUUUUACUGAAACUACCUGCUGUACUCCCAUGUCCUUUUUUCCCUGUUAUUUAAUGAUCACAUUGUUCACUUUUAUCAUUUCACUUUAUUCUUAAUACAAGUUCUUUAAUUAUCCUUACUCUUUUACUUGUUUCAGUCAUUUGACUGUGGCCAUCCUGGAGCACUGUCUUUAGUUGAGCAAAUCGACCCCAGAACUUAUUCAUUGUUAGCCUAGUACAUAUUCUAUCGGUCUCUUUUGCCGGGCCGCUAAGUUACGGGGAUGUAAACACACCAGCAUCGGUGGAAGAGGGGGGUACAAACACAGACACACAAACACAUACAUAUGUAUAUAUACAUAUAUACGACGGGCUUCUUUCAGUUUCCGUCUACCAAAUCCACUCACAAGGCUUUGGUCGGACUGAGGCUAUAGUAGAAGACACUUGCCCAAGGUGCCACGCAAUGGGACUGAACCCGGAACCAUGUGGUCCAUAAGCAAGCUACUUACCACACAGCCCCUCCUAUGCCUAGUACCCUUGGAUACUUUCUGUAAAUAUCUCAUCUUCAAGUCUUACUUCAAGUCUUACAUAGGCAUACAUCUUUUUUGAGUUCUAAUGACUGUUUCAUUGAUGUUUUGAAGAUGUUGGUAUUGUUUAGCCGAUGGUCUUCAUUGGUUGACCCUAUGUUCAAAGGUAUUGCAGUUGUAACUAUCUCAUGUUUUUGUAUAUUUCUAACUAUAUCAUCCAACAUGCACUUAACUUUCUAAAAUGUUUGAAUGUGAAUUUUGGCAGCUAUUUCUAAGUGGUCAAAUGACUACAAAGAUUUUACCUCAAUGGGUUAGGUUAGUAAUGUUGUAUAGCCCCAGGUCAGCCCUGAUUGAGGAGGUCUGUAAUUAAAUAUGUUCCAGCUGUGACCAUCUUGUUUUUAUGUACGUGAUCAUUGCCAGAGCGGCUAUCUGGCCUCCGUGCUGGUGGCACGUAAAAGACACCAUUUGAGCGUGAUCGUUACCAGCAUCACCUUACUGGCACCUGUGCCGGUGGUAUGUGUAUGGCCACAGUCUAAUAACUGAAAGUAGUAAAAGAUUAAAAAUAUAUAUUUAUGAAAUAUAUAUCUAUGAAUAAAAUAAGUAAAAGAGAAUGAAUAUAUGUAUGUUUGUGUAUAUAUAUAUAUAUUUUACUCUUUUACUUGUUUCAGUCAUUUGACUGCGGCCAUGCUGGAGCACCGCCUUCAGUCGAGCAAAUCAACCCCAGGACUUAUUCUUUGUAAGCCUAGUACUUAUUCUAUCGGUAUCUUUUGGCGAACCGUUAAGUUAUGGGGACGUAAACAUACCAGCAUUGGUUGUCAAGCAAUGGCAGACACACAAACAUAUACACACAUACAUACAUAUAUAUAUAUAUAUAUAUAUACAACAGGCUUCUUUCAAUUUCCGUCUACCAAAUCCACUCACAAGGCUUUGAUCAUCUCGAGGCUGUAGUAGAAGACACUUGCCCAAGGUGCCAUGCAGUGGGACUGAACCCAGAAACAUGUGGUUGGUAAGCAAGCUACUUACCAUACAGCCACUCCAGAGAUUAAUUUAUCAAUUAAUCAACAUAUUCACCAACAAUUGUUUCAUUUCACAAACAAAAUUAGAAUUACAAAACAUAUAAUAUAAAUAUAUGAUUUUGCAUUUUAAAUACCUUGUAAGGAAGAUCAACAGGGUGUGCAGAGGACAAUGAGGAUUACAUUAGGAUGCUUUUGGAAUAUACAGAAUAAACAUGUUUACUAUGUAUGUAUACAUGUGUGUCACAUGUAUCCAUUAGAUUUCUCUGUUUUCUUACUCGAUAAAAUUGUCUGAUAUUUUAUGAUAUUCUAUAUAAUAUCUUCAUUGAAGAAAUAUCUCUUCAAAAUAUUAUAUAUAUUAAACCAGUAUAUCUUGGAUAGAUAUCCCUAUAAGAGGUUUGAAUAUCCUCAUUGUGACUAUAUAUAUUCUUUUAUUCUUUUACUUGCUUCAGUCAUCUGACUGUGGCCAUACUGGAGCACCAGCUUUAAUUGAACAAAUUGACCCCAGGUAAGCCUAGUAUUUAUUCUAUCGGUUACUUUUUUUGCCAAACUGCUAAGUGACGGGGACGUAAACACAGCAACAGCAGUUGUCAAGCGAUGGUGGGGGACAAACAGACAUACACAUACACCCAUAUAUAUAUGACAGGCUUCCCUCAGUUUCCAUGUAUCAAAUCCAUUCACAAGGCUUUGGUCAACCCAAGGCUAUAGUAGAAGGCACUUGCCCAAAGUGCCACGCAGUAGGACUGAACCUGGAACCAUGCGGUUGAGAAACAAGCUUUUUACCACACAGCCACUCCUGUGCCUACAUAGCCGCGCCUGCAUCUAUAUAUAUAUAUAUAAUGUAUAUACUUUUCAUAUACAAAUCAAUAAAUAUAGGUUAGAAAUUCUAAGUUUCAUUUUUAUGCAACCUUACAAACCGUAAAGUAUUAAAAAAAUAAACUGAGAGCAAUUAAAAGAGAAACAGAAGGAAAGACGUGGUCAAGUUUUCAUACCUCAAAGUGUGAGAAACGACUGAAGGAAAAUUUCCCAAAUUCUAUAAAACAAUGGAAUGCAUAUGAAACCUACAAUUUAUAUUGUUUGAUAGAUACUUUCAGAACAUCUAAUGACAUAGGAAACAGCAAACAGCUUCAUGAUAUACAAUGGAAUAUACUAUUAUAUAUAUAUAUAAAUGAAUAUAUAUGCAUAUAUACAUGUGUAUGUUUAUAUAUAUGAAAGCAACUCCUGUAAAAAAAAUGUAUGAAGUAUUUGUUAAAAUAGGAAAAAGAAAAUUGUUUUCAACAAAGCAAGUAUAAAACGAUUAUAUUUGUUAUACACAAUAGAUUAACGUAAGAUAGAGUUAGGGCACAAAAAGAUGAAUAAAGACAUAAAUCAGUCAAAAAGGAAACACUUUAUAACACACACACACACACACAUAUAUAUAUUAUGUGGAAAUAGUUAUAAAAUAUUUUCUAAGUUCCAGUGAAACUCUCCUCCGGCCUUCAGUAAUAUUGAGUUUUAAGAAAAAAGGAUGAGGAAAAAAUAAAUAAAUGUAAAAAAUUGUUAAGUUUUAGUUUUGAUAUUUUUUUUUUUGUUUUGUUACAUGUUGUUCAUAAAAUGUAUUCUACGUUUUAACGGUUAUAUUUUUCUAAAAGAAAGAAAGGAAAAAAAAACCACCCAAAACAAACAAACAACAAUAACAAACAAUGGAAAUAUAUGAAAAUAUUCUUCUUGACUGAGUUUAGUUAUUUGCCACUUGAAUUACAUUGCUAACACAUAUGGAAUGAAAGCAAAAUGAGAAGAAGAAGAAGAAGAAGAAGAGUAAUGCUGGUUUGCUUUUUAUCUUUUAUUACUUCUUGCUCGUCUGAGAAACAGAUUUAACUAAAAGCUACAAAAUUACAGUGGAAUGAGGUUGCUGUCUAGUCUAGUAAUUUUUCAUUGUAGUAAGUCUUUCCUCUCAGACUAAUAACAAAACUAUCUCUUAAAGAACAGUGACAAAUUAUUAUAGCUUUUAAUAGUUAUAAAAGCAUUGGGAAUAUUUUAUUGUAAACUGAUUGCUCUGGAAUAAUGAUUGUGCUAAUUUAGAGGCAAAUUAUAGAAAUAGAAAACUUAUAAACAAUUAUCUUUAAUUUUCUGAAAUGGUUAAUUUAUACUAAAUUUAAGACUUUAGUCGAACCACUGUUGAGACAGUAAAUAAGUUAAUGCACACACACACACACUCAUACACACACAUACAAAAUAUAAUGUAGUGCUUAAAGUUUAAUGUGGUCUGUAUGACCAUGCAGGGUGGUAAGGAGUGCAUAUGACCCCUGUAGGGUCCAUAUAAGAUUUUGUUAAAUUUAUGUGCAAUAAAUUGGUUUUAAUUUUACAAUGCACAAAAAUAUUUUAACGAAGCUUUAUACGAUUCCUAAUAAUAUUUAAUUACAAAAAAGGCAGUGAGCUGGCAGGAUCGUCAGCACGCCAGGUGAAAUGCUAAAAGGUAUUUAGUCUGUCUUUACGUUCUGAGUUCAAAUUCCGCCGAGGUCAACUUUGCCUUUCAUCCCUUUGGGGUCGAUAAACUAAGUGCCAGUUGCAUACUGGGGUUGAUUUAAUCGACUGGACCCCUUCCCCGAAAUUUCGGGCCUUGAGCCUAGGGUAGAAAAGGAUAUCUAAUUACUAAAAAUAUAAUAUAUGAUGAGGGCCCACUUGAGUAAAACUGGAAUCAAAGGGGUCCUUAGGUAGAUCAUGGUUGAGAAACACUGGCCUAAGCUGUGUCUCCAGCUUACACCUUGAUCUGUGAAUCUUUUUGAUGUAACAACUAAAUCGAUGAAGCACUUGUUUUCACUGUAAAGCAUCUCGUUAUCACAUGUAUGGUGUAGGCACUUGGCUCAGUGGUUAGAGCAUCAAGCUUACAAUCGUGAGGUUGUGAGUUUGAUUCCUGGACCGGGCUGUAUGUUGUGUUCUUGAGCAAGACACUUAAUUUCACGCGACUCCAGUUCACUCAGCUGUAUCAGCCCCUUUGCCUUUCCCUUGGAUAAUGUUGGUGGCAUGGAGAGGGGAGGCUGAUAUGCAUGGGUGACUGCUUGUCUUCUAUAAAAGCAACCCUAGGUUGUGCAUUCGCUGGUGAGGUGACUUUCUGCCCGGACUUGUACCCCAGAGGGGAACCUCUCAGGUGCACCCAUGGCCAUUCGUGACCAACAGAGUGAAGUUUAUAACAUGUAUAACUUAGAUAUGUCUCAACCAAAAAUUGACCAAGGCCAUGUCUAACAUAAUAGCACCAUCUGAUAGGAUUUUUUAAAACCUUUUUAAGUCAAGUUUUGUGGUAUCAUGGCCCAUAUGAGUAGGGAGUUCUUGUUGACGGAGUUGUAUCCAGGUUUAGGUGGCUUAUCUGGUAUCCCUUAAAGAAAUUUGUCCAGAUUCUGUUUAAAGGUGACAAGGUCUUUUUCCUCUUUGAUUUGUUUUGGAACAAUGUUAAACAGGGCAGGGCUUGUUGGGGAAAAGAUAUUGUGUUGCAGUGUAUUUAUAUGUUGUGAUCCUGAAUUGGGUAGGGGAUGUAUGGCCAGUGGUCCUAGCCUUGGAUGAAUUCUGAAACUAAUUUUAAGGUCAUAAUAUUUGUCUUAUUUAGAUUUCUGCUUGUUGACCAGUUUCAUUUCUUAAAACCUUCUAUGGAAAAUAAUCUAAUGCUAUUUACUUUAUUUUCUUCAUUUAAUACAUUUUCUGGCAGCCAGAGUAACAUUAACUCUUUUGAUACGAACCCAACUGAAACUGGCUCUGGCUCCAAGUACAAAUGUCUUGCUUAUAUAAGUUUUGAAUUAAAAUCUUCCACCAAACCUUAGUCACAAUUUAUGUUCCUAACACUAGCUAAAUGAUAACUAAGUUAUUUUACUAAAUUCUUUGUCAUAUUUAAAAUUAAUUGUUCUGUCACCAGUUUCAACACAUAAUUUUUCUCAGUUCUUGUGGCCCCCAAAUGCCAUUCCUCUGAAUUAUUUUUUUUCCUGCCCAUGUUUUAUGACAAUCAUUGACCUCUUGCUAUAAACCACAUCAGUCUCAUCAAUCUUAAAGCCUGCAAAGCUUAUAGGGGGCAGCCCCUUCACCCACAUAGCUUCAAUAUUCUGGAUUAAUGUAGUCUCUGUUGAUUUUGGAAAUGGAGAAAUGUUUCAGCUUUCUAUGUUCUUCUUCUUCUUAAAGUAUUUACCUUUGUUGUAAUGUGUUGACAGGAAACAAUAUUCUCUAUGAAUAUCUAUACUUAUUUUGUCUCAGUAUCUUUUAUCUUUUACUUGUUUCAAAUAUUAGACUGUGGCCAUGCUGGGGCACUGCCUUGAAGAACAUUUCAUUGAAUGAGCCAAUCCUAGAAUGUAUUUUUUUAAAGCCUAGUACUCAUUCUGUUGGUCUGUUUUGUGGAAUCACUAAGUUACAGGGAUGUAAACAUUAUCACCAGUUGUCAGGCAGUGAUCAGGGACAAAAGAACACACAUACACACAUACAUAUAUACAAUGAGCUUUCAGUUUCCAUCUGGCCGAUGCCAGCGCCGCCUUGACUGGCUUCCAUAUCGGUGGCAUGUAAAAACCACCGACCGAUCGUGGCCAUUGCCAGCCUCCCUUGGCACCUGUGCUGGUGGCACAUAAGAAGCACCAUCCGUACGUGGUCGAUGCCAGCACCACCUUGACUGGUUUCCCCUGGCACGUAAAAGCACCAACUGAUUGUGGCCAUUGCCAGCCUCCCCUGGCACCUGUGCCGGUGGCACAUAAAAAGCACCAACUGAUCGUGGUGUUGCCAGCCUCCCCUGGCACCUGUGCCAGCGGCACGUAAAAAGCACCCACUACACUCAUGGAGUGGUUGGCAUUAGGAAGGGCAUCCAGCUGUAGAAACACCACCAGAUCAGACUGGAGCCUGGUGCAGCCUCCUGGCUUCCCAGACCCCGGUCAAACUGUCCAACUCAUACUAGCAUGGAAAACGGACGUUAAACGAUGAUGAUAAUGAUGAUGAUGAUGAAAUCCACUGAGAAGGAUUUGGUCAGGCUGAGUCUAUAGUGGAAAACACUUGGCUAAGGUGCCAUAUGGUGGGACUGAACCCAGAACUAUGUGGUUGAGAAGUAAACUUCUUACCACACAGCCAUGAAGUAUAUUUGAUGUGAAAACAUAGAAGCAAAAGAAUUCUGUUAAAUAUAUAUAUUUAUUUUUUCUUGUUAGUUAUUUUACUGGUCUCAGGUUGGAACUAUUUGACAGGGGAUCUGGUGGGUGGGGCAACUCCAAGGGUUUAAUUUGAUCAUAUUUGAACCCAAUACUUAUUUCAGUCUAAUAUAUAUUUUAUCAAUCUCUAUUUAUCACAUGGUUAAUAUAUAAUAAUAUAUAAUUUUUUAUAUAUUAAUAACAUACUACCACUUAAAGUAAUAUUUGUUUUACAGGUGUUAAAUUCAAAUCAGUGUGUGACUGAUAAAUUUAAUGUCAUCAUCUCAAUUUUACAUUAGUAAUGAAAGGAACUAUUUAUCUGACUAAAUUAUUAGGUUGAGGAAAAAGUUUGUGCGCCGUGUUAAAAUGAUACUUUUAUAUAUAUUUUUGUGGGGUGUGUGUGUGUGUUCAUAUAGUCCAUGUCAUGUUCAAUGGUGACUCAUUGAGUUUGUCAAAAAUGUGCUUUGUUUCAACAAGACAAUGCAAAGCUGCAUACCACUAGAAAGACCAGCAACAAGAUUGAAGAAUUGAAUGGUGUGGAAGUUCUGCCACAUCCAGCCUGUAGUCCAGAUGUUGCUCCAUCUGAUUAAGGUCCCUUUCGAUCGAUGCAGCACUUUAUGAAAGGUCGCCAAUUUGAGUCAUUCGAUGAAGUUGCAGAAGCCUGUCAAGAACUUUUCAAUUCAAAGCUGAAGGACUGAUACUUUGACCAAAUCCAAAAGCUUGCAGAGUUUAAAAUCUUAUGAGAGUUCAAAAUAUCUCGUGGAAGCGUCAUCCAACCAAAGUACAAAUAUAUGGGAAAUUACCACCUGUAUUAUCUCUUGUGAAAGGUAGAAGAGUCCAGUUUGCUGGACACUGUUAUAGAGCUGAAAACGAGGUAAUUUCUACUCUUCUCCUCCGGAAGCCAUCUACUCACGAUACCAGAGGGCACACACUCUCCUACCCUAAUUUAAUCUCCAAGGAUACAGGCAUCUAGCAACAGAACCUCCGUAAUGCUAUGAUGGACCGUGAAGUCUGGUGUAACAUAGUAAAUUCCAUUCUCUCGACUACGGUCGAACAAUGAGAAUGACUCUUUCACUUGUUUCAGUCAUUUGACUGCAGCCAUGCUGGAGCACCGCAUUUAGUCGAGAAAAUCGACCCCAGGACUUAUUCUUUGUAAGCCUAGUAAUUAUUCUAUUGGUCUGUUUUGCUGAACUGCUAAGUUACGGAGACAUAAACACACCACCAUCAGUUGUCAAGUGAUGUUGGGGGGACAAACACAAACACACAAAGAUAUACACAUAUACGACGGGCUAUUUUCAGUUUCCUUCUACCAAAUCUACUCACAAGGCUUUGGUCAGCCCAAGGCUAUAGUAGAAGACACUUGCCCAAGGUGCCAUGCAGUGUGGCUGAACUCAGAACCAUGUGGUUGGUAAGCAAGCUAAUUACCACACAGCCACUCCAUUAGCGGAAGGUCAUGGAAAAUGAUGGCCUUUAUUUUGAAUAAUAGUUUUUGUUUUUAAAUAAAUUCUUGCAUAAAAAUUCAUUAUUUUAAUAUGGCACACAAACCUUUUCCUGAACCUAGUAUUUUGGUGUAAACAUCAGUGCCAGCAUAACAUAAGCUGGGCAGGUAUUUUUAUCUUUUCCAUUUCCUGCCAUUUAGUUCCUCCUUGGAUGGUUCCAGGGGUUUGUCAGUUUCUCUAUAUAAAAGGACAGCUUAGCCUCUCAUUACUCAAUCCUUCUCCAUUUUUGGAGAAAAAGACACUAUAUGUUGUCCCCCCUCCCACAAUCUUUUUCAUGGUACAACAGCUAAUACAGAGAGAGAGAGAGAGAAAGAGAGAGAGAGAAAGUAAUCUAGUACUUGGUUAGCAAAUUAUCAAUAUCAUGAGGGAAAAUUAAAGUUGCACCUGGUAGGUUUUGAACUCAUGGCAUCAAGUGCUGAAACAAAUACUACAUGGUAUAUAUGUAUGCAGGUAUGUAUGUAUGUAGCCAACAUGUUUUCACACAGUUUGCAUCUACGAUGUACACCUCAUGAGGCUUUACUUAACCCAAGGGCCUGGUAGAACACCCUUGUCUCAGGUACCACUGCCGUGAAAUUGAACCCAGAACCACUUGAUUGCAGAACUAACACCUUAAGCACACAGCCAUGCUCUCACACAUUCACUUGUCGUUGGCAACAACACAGGCAAAGUGCAUCGCUCGUUCGCUAAUAACUUUAAAGCAAAAUCUGUAGCCGUCCUAUUGAUUGGAUACCUUGUGUGAACUUAGUGUACAAUGCAUCUUUGCCAAUACAAAGAAAUUCCAUCUGGCAUCCAUGUCCCGAGUAUAUGAGAUUUCUCAGGAUAUAACAUACUUGAGAUGCCAAAGCAUUUCAGGAAUUUGUUAGUCUCUCUCUGUUCUUCCAAGGAAUUUGCAGGAUAGGCUGGAGACAACACAGGUCAAAAUUAAUUCCCUGUUCGACAGAAAUGUUGUGAAUAUAUAAGCUUGCUAAUAUAUUUGCAGGAUAGGAGUUUGCCAUACAAUAUACUAUAGUGUCCCUUUUUUUUAUUUAUAUUAGACAUUUUGGUCAUUCUGCUGUUUAUUUAUUUAUUGAUUUUUUUUUUAAGUAUUGAACUGCAAAAGUUUGAUCUACAAGCAUAAUGAUAUUAUUUAAAUAUAUAUAUAUAUCCACACACAUAUAUACAUACACACGCACAUAUAUAUAUAGAUACACACACACAUAUAUAUAUACACAUAUAUAAAUAAGGCUUUCCUAUUUGGAAGCCUCUUAUUAUAUACACACAUAUAUGUAUAUACACAUACAUACACAUUUUUAUAUAUACAUAUAAAUACAUACAGACAUAUAUACAUUUAUAUACAUACAUA